UACUCAAUUCUCAUCAUUUGCUAUAUAAUAGCUUUUCAAUACACAUAUCAUUUAAACAACAAUAUUGUUCAUCCCAUACCCAAUUCAUGAAUACACAAUUCAUGAAUACACAAUUCAUAUGUCUCAAUUCAUAUUUCAAUUCACUGCACCAUUUUCAUUUCACAUACAAUAUCAUCUAACAUCAAUCAUAAUGCAAUUUCGAUUAAUUACCCCUAUUAACAUGACUCGGACUCGAACAGAUACACGGAUCCAACCAAACACACCAGUUUGGCACCCAGUGCCUCAUCGGAUAAUUCGAAGUAAUAAUUUAACACCCAGUGUCUCAUCGGCUAAACCGAAGUAAAUUGGCACUCAGUGCCUCAUCGAAUUAAUCCGAAGUAGUAAAUUGAAACCCAAUGUCUCAUCGACUCAAAGUCGAAGAAAUCCCUGAACUCUUUCAAUCCUAUGGCAUGCCAUUUAUAUCCGACUCAGCCCGAUACAGUUAAUAGGGUUCUAAUUCACUUUUCAAAUACAACCAAUAUUCAAUUCAAUACAAAUAAUCAAUAUACUCAAUAUAUAUACCAAUUCAAUCAAUAUAAAUUCAAUAAAUUCAUCACAUAGUAAAUCAAUCCAUUUCAAUUGCAAAACACAAUAAUUCUCACCUCAACACUUACCAUAUACAUUAAAUUAAAUUAUAACAAUUAACAACUAAAUUCAAAUUAUAGAAAUACAAACCAGAAAUCCCGAGUUAUUCCUCGUCGACUUUAUCUUUUUCCUUUUUAGUCGAAGGUUCCAAUACGAUGUUAGCUACGGAAUUAAAACAAUUAAAAAAAUCAUCAAUACAACACUGUACAAGCCCAAAUUUGCCCGGGGCCAAAAAACCCAAUACACCACAAACCUAAUCUAAACCCAAACCCAGGCCCAUACCAAAUGAACCAAACCCAAACCCCAAGUGCAUGCCAGGCCUGGUAUGGCCCAAACCCAAAAAGACCAAUACCUCAGCCCAAAACCCAAAACACAAAAAAAACCUAGCAGGAAACAAAAAACCCUAGGCGCCGCACUUAGAUCCGCGCCACUUGCUCUACCACCGCCGCACCUAACCCCUAACCACCUGCCACCGCCACGGUCACAUCGCCGCCAUCUACUUGCACCUGCUCCGCCUACAAAAGGAAAGAAAACACGCAAAGCAGAGACCAAGCAGUAGCAAAUAGUAGUAAUAUUAUAUUGUAUCAAUUUUUGCCUAUAAAAGAGGCCGAAUGUUAUCUCUAAGCUUCUUCGGUUUUUGGUUUUUUAGGAACAUUCAAAAAAAAUAAAACAAAAAAAAAACUUUAAGGUGACUACUGUUUUUUAAUUUUAAUAUGUUAUUUUAUUAUUUUAUUUUAUUUUAUUUCUACCUAUAAUCAAAAAUAACAAAAGAAAGGGGACUCACCGGUGAACUUUCGUGAUCGCAUCAUCGGAGAAGGGGGAGUCUUCGCCGCCGUCGGGACCGGAUCCGAAAGGAGGCCGAGGUUCUCCUCCGUUUUGGCCAUCUAGAGGGUUCGACCCUCAAUGGCGCUGCAAGAUAAGGGUCGAAAGCCCAUUCCCUUUCCUCGUCGGCCACGGCCAUGGCAGUUGCUCGGCGGACGGACUGCGAAGCAUAUAGGCCGGAGCUUGGGGGGCCAUGGGGCAAAGAAAUGCUCUCAAAAAAAUUUUUUUAAGGCUGGUCAGAAUGAAUUUUUAGGUUUUUUUUUAGUGUUUUAUAAACCUUCUAAAUGGCGUCGUUUUGGAGGGGUCAGGAAAGGCCCAAAACGACGUCGUUUUGGCUCCUGACCCGAAACCUGACCCAACCUUAAGGAAGGAUCUGCGUUUUUUGCUUCAGUGGGAUAUUUACCCCCACAGUCCUUCCGCCUUUGCGACGCGUUGCAAUUCGACCCCUUUUCUUUCUUUUCCUUUAUUUUAAUUUAUCCGCAUAAGUUUACUUUUGUUUCAUUUUAGUCCCGCCCAAAGUGAUACGUUUUGGGGGCGGGAUAUUUACUGUUUUGGUCCCCCUCCUUUCGCGCGUGUCACAAUUUAAUCGUUUUCUUGGUUUCCAUUUUCAUUUCUCCCCUAAGAUUCUAUUUAUUUUUAAUUUUAUAUUUUUCUAUUGUUUUUUUUAUUAUUUAACUAAUUAGGUUAUUAUUAUUAUUUUUUUUUUUUUCUUUGUAUAUAUAUUUUUGUUUUAUUUUAUUAUUAUAUUUUUACUCUUCUUAAGUACAUAGUUAUUUAAUGAUUUUUAGUAGUUAUUUAAUGAUUUUUAGCAUUUAAAACUGUUUUCAUUUUUUAUCGUAUUUCUUAUUUAUUUAUUUUCUUUAUUAUUAUUUUACUUAAUAUUUAUUUAUUUAUGUGUCCAUUAUUAUUUUAAAAACGUUUUAAUUCUAUUCGUUUAUUUACUUGAUAUAAUUGAUUUGUAUUUUUUUAUUUAACUUAUCUUCGUUGCUAUUGCUCGUAUUAUUUAUGCUUACAUCAUCGUAUUCAUUUUUGUUUUGUUACGCAUAUUGACAUCAUGUUUUAUUUCUACUAUUUCGUGUUAGAUUAAUUUUAUUCAAUGCAUAAAUUAUGAUUUUUGAAUAAGCAAAAUCUUGUGUUUAGAUUCGAGAGGUCGUACCCUAACUUACUGGGUUUCGAUUUUCACAAUAAAUCUAAAUACACGAAUCUUUUCAAACUCAAGUUUUAAACAAUCUCUGAAAUUAAAAAGAGAUCGUGUCCUAACUUACUGGGCGUGAUCCCUUUUUUCCUCAAGUUUUAAAUGAUCUCGGAAAUUAAGAAAAGAUCGUGUCCUAACUUACUGGGCAUGAUCCCUUUUUUUUAAUCCGAGAUAGCUAAAUAUCUUUUAAAUAAGUAAAUUUUCGGCAUUCAUUCGCGCAUCGGGAACUUAAGACAUUGUGUCCUAACUUACUGGAUAUAAUUUUUUUCUCGAUUAACAUGAAAUAUGCCAUUUUUUCAAAAAUUUUCAAUAUUUCAAUAAAGGAUCGUAUUUUAAAUCUCUUUAAAAUCUUCAAUCUUCGACACUAAGACAUUAAGUAAUCAACUAGGUACCAAUUUUUGGGCGCUACGAGGGUGCUAAUCCUUCCUCGUACGUAACCAACUCCCGAACCUGUUUUUCUAAAUUUCGUGGACCAAAAUUGUUGUUUUAAUAAAAUCAAAUCGUUUAUUAAAAACAACCACUUUUCAAGGUGAUCCAAUCACACCUUAUCAAAAAGGAUUGGUGGCGUCUCCCGUUUUCAUUUUCGUUUUCAAAAUCUAAUUCGACCCCGUUUUAUUAAAAAAAAUGGUGUCAACAUUAAAAAAAAUCAUCAAUACAACACAAUUCAAUCUCAUAAUUAAUAAUUCAAUUUUUAUUCCAUAUUUGUCUAAAUUUCAAUUUAGUCCCUAAAUCGAGACUUUUUUUACAUUUAAUUCUAUAUUUUCAUUCAAAUUCUACUUUAAACUAAAUUUAACUCCCUAAUUUCACUUAAAUCCCUAAAUUUCAAAAUUUUCACAAUUUAGUCCCUAUUACACAAAAUUUACAAUUUAUUCUACAAUUCAAUCCUUUUUCAUUUCUAACCUAAAAAUCUAUCAAUUUAACCUCUAAUACUAAAAUUAUUUAACAUAAACAACACUUAAAAACUCAAUAAUAUCUAAAAUUUUGACAUGAGUCGGAUAGUAUUUUAACACUAAGAUUCCAAAAACAUAAAAUUAUAAGAAAAAUAGACUAAAUUGACUAACCAAUUGAACUUGAAACUUUGAAACCCUAAUUUCUCCUUUCUCCUUCUUUCUUUCCUUUUUCUCUCUUUUUCCUUCUGUUUCGUUUCUAUCUUUGUUCUUUUUUCUUUCAUUUAUUUGUUUUAUUAUAAUAUAAUAUAAUAUAAUAUAAUAUAAUAUAAUAUAAUAUACUUAAUUCUUAAGGUAAUAUAUUAUAAUAUAUAUUUUAACUUAAAAUUUAGGAUAUUGCCGCCUCAUCUAAAGAAAAUGGCAUAAUUGCUUCUUUAGUCCUUUUAGUUUUUUCUUUAAUCUAUAAUUCAACUUUCACCCUUUAUGCAAUUUAGUACUUUUACCUAAUUACUCUUAAUUCAUGCCCUAACCAAAACCUAAUUAACCACACAACUAACUUCGUAAAUAUUUAUUACUAAUUUACGAAAACGAAGUCUCGGAAAUGCAUUUUCCGACACCCGUGACUAUCGGGUUGUUACAAGACCCUUUAUAAUUUAUAAAAUUUUAAAUUAGUAAUAAUAAAAUUACACUUUAGUCCUCAAAAAUGAUAAAAAUUUAAUUUAUUUUUAAAAAAUUAUAAUGAUAUAGGCUAUUAAAAUAAUAAAAUUAUAUUUGUAAAAAUAUACAAUUUAAUUUAGCCCACCAAAAAAAUUUUCUGAAUCUGACACUAUAUACAUAGACGGUGUAUGAAAUAUUAUUCCUUAAAAGGAAUAAAAAAAAAGCAAUAUACUAACUAUGUUUAAGAAUUAUUGGUUAACGCGACUAUACAAGUGGAUUAUAGAAAAGUCAACAUUUGCAUAGACUUCAAGAAAAGGUCCACAUUUGCAUGCUAUGAAGUAUUGCAUGGAGUUCCCAUUUAUGGUCAAGCUCAAGUUCGGUGUAAACGCACAAUUCUAUUCAAUUCUACUCAUCUAAUGCAUAGUCAAACUCGAAAAAGAAUUUUGGUGUCAAGAAAUGUAUAAAAUUUAGAAAAUUUAGGAUCAAAACUAAAAAUUAAACUUGUUCAGUUCCAUGCAAGUACUUGGUUUUGAUUUUCUUCAACCUUGCAACAACUUCUUCCAUAUCAAUCCUUUCCUCUGCUACCUCUGCUGAACAUUCCAGAGCUAAUUGCAAAAUGAAUAAUUUACAAUCCUUUGCUGCUAACCCUUCUCUUUCUCCUGUAUUUAGAAGCUUACUGUCUACCACAUCAACUAAGGAAGAUGGUAAUGAUUCUUUCACCCAACGUUUCAAGCUCAUUUCUUCCCCAAACAUAUCAUCCGUCUGCUUCUUUCUUGUGAAAGUUUCCAUGACAAGAAUCCCGAAACUAUACACAUCACUUUUGUAGAAACAAUCCCUUCUGAUCCAUAUUCUGUAUAAGAAAAUAAUUUAAAUUCAUUAUAAAUUUAUUUGAAGAAUAAUUUGAAGGCAAGCACAAGUCUAUAUACAUUACCUGGUGACAUGUAUCCAAUAGUUGCUAGUGUCUUUGUUUGUAUCAUUGAAUCUUCUUCGCCUAAGAGUUUUGCAAUGCCAAAAUCACCCAAAUGCACUACCAUAUCUGUAUCUAGCAGGAUAUUGUUUGGCUUUAUAUCGCAAUGAACCACGGAAAGGGAAUGACCAUGGUGGAGAUAUUCCACUGCCAAUGCAAUGUCUAUCACUAUAUUCAACCUUUGCAAAACAUUCAGAAAAUGGUUUUGAGAAUAUAGCCACUUCUCCAAGCUUCCAUUAGGCAUGAACUCAAGUACCAAAGCUUUAAAUUCAACAUUAGAGCAACUAUUAAUGAUUUUAACCAAAUUCCGAUGACGAAUGUUGCGUAGUACCUCACACUCGAUAUCAAAGCUUUUAGAAGCUCUAGCUUGAUUUACAUGCAACACUUUUACUGCAAUGGUCAUCCCAGUUGAGAGAGUUCCUUUGUAUACUGACCCGAAACUCCCUACCCCAAGUAGAUUGCUUUGGGAAAAUCCAUCAGUAGCUUGAGCAAGGUCAUGGUAAGAAAUUCUUCUCCAUUCAGGUAACGGUGGCAAAUUUUCUUGAAUUGGUAGUUCAGCUUUCGAAUUUUGACUUCGUAAAAGAAUGAUAACCACCGUUAAAAUUCAAUUAAAAUUCUCUUUUAUCAUUUUCACCCUCAACUUUUAAAACUCAAUUAAGCUGUUACUUUUUAGACGGGAGAACUAAUUAGAUCGUUAAAAUUUUAAUGAUGUUAAUGUAGAAAUUUACUUGACAAUUUACAUGUACGUCAUAAAGGUUCAAUUUUUUUUAAAAAAAAUUCAAAAAGAAUUUCAUAGAACUUUUUUAAAAAUUAUCCACAUCUUUAAUGAAAUACAUGUGAAUUAGUAUAUGUAGACUUGGUUAAAAUUUUAAUAAUUAAUUUUUUAUUAAAAAUUAAAAAUUAAAUUAAAGUUUGAAAACUAGAAGCUAAAAAUUAAAUUUAUGAAUAUUCUUAUAAACUUCAACCUUACAGCCUUUUAGAAAAUAUACUUUUUCACUGUACGAGAUAUUAUAAACAAUAAUCAUACAAUCUAUCAUUCUAUUAUGAUCACGUGGAACACAAUUAUUAGCCUGAAAAUUAAAUUAAUCAAAGUACGUAUUGCAGAAUAUUGAAAGUUUUGGUUGGAAAAAUCCACUUUCUUUGGUGGGACAAUUAUUGAUCGAGUUGCAGGUAAUUAUCUACCAACCAGCGUACCAGCAUUGACUGUCUCACGCAGACGUCGUAAACCAAGCAAUUAAGAAGAAAUCAUUUAAAUUACGCAAAUAAAUCAUUCAAAAUACUUUCUCAAGUUGAUUUAAUUUUAAACAUUUACAAAUUCAUUCUCUAGUGUAUUUAGAUUUAGAUAAAAAAAUUUAAGCUAUGUUCCGAUAAUUUAAAUAAGAAUUUUAAGCUUUAUUAUUUUUUAAAAAAUAUUUUUUUAUUCUUAUAUUUUUUAAAGAUUAUUUAAAUUUAAUUUCAAAAAAUAACAUCUUCCAAAUAUAAUCAAAGUUGAAGGCAUUUAAUUUGGCCCUUGACUCCUUUUUUCAGCUUAUCUAUAGGAUGACUUAGUAUUUCUUCAUACAAUCCCAUCCAAACGAAAUGGCUUCCUUUUUUAUUGAAUGAGUUGCUUUCUUGAUCUUGAUAAAUUGUGAAAUAAAAAAGAUUCAUUUAUCAAUUAUUUGAUAAUUCUUAACCACAGUCUUAAUAUUUUUGUUACUCUUGGUACUGAUAUCGACCCAGGACUCAAUAUCGACCUUAUUUCUAAGACAAAAACGAAUAAUUCUCCAAUUAAAAACUUUUCUGUGCAAAAAAUUCCCCAUAGCAUCUAGGAUAUCGCCUUCUCCUAGAUAAUUAUGGAUAGAGAUAUCCCUCAAUGUAUCAAAAAAAUUUUGUUUAUCCAUGUUGUAAUGAUAAGAACUCUCUUCCCUCUUAUUUACUUGGAAUGGUGAUCCAUAAGCAUAUGGGUCCCUCUUAUUUUGAUAAUUAAUAGAUUUAUAUAAUAAAAAAUCAUUGUUUAUUAUGUCUCUAAACGUUUUAUAUAAUCACACUUUAGGUCAGUGUCUCUAAUUUUUAAAUACAUUUAUUGGCCGAUGAUGGGGUAGUGCCACCAAUGUGUCUAACAACACCAAUGAACACUGUAGAAAUAGGAUAAUUUACAUACAUGAUUUUAAGUUAGGUUAUUUUAAAUAAUUAAUUAGAAAAUCUAGAUUACUUUUAAAACAAACAGUAGCAGUUGGAUUCCCAUCCACCAUACAUUCAUUUUGCUGAUUAUUUAAUGAAAGAGUUUCCGUUAUUCCAUAUCCUUCAUCAACCCAAGUAAGCCAAUGGGAAAAUCUCACUUUAUGCUUUCUCUUGUAGUUGUGAUUUUGUUUCUAAAUUUUGUUUGUUCUUUUUCCAUGGAAUCACCCAACAUCACCACAGACCGGUUAGCUCUUCUUGCAUUGAAAUCUCAUGUAACUUCUGAUCCAAAACGUUUUUUAGCAACCAAUUGGUCUACUAGCACAUCUGUCUGCAAUUGGAUUGGCAUCACUUGCGGAUCCAAAAACCUUAGGGUCACAGGUUUGAAUCUUACAGGCAUGGGUCUGGUAGGCACCAUACCAUCACACUUGGGAAAUCUAUCCUUCCUCUCCAGACUCAACAUUAUGAACAAUAGUUUUCAAGGCUUAUUACCCAACCAUUUGGCUAAUUUGCAUCGGUUGAAGUUCAUAAACUUGGGUAACAACAAAUUCGGCGGAGAAAUCCCAUCAUGGUUCGGUUCCUUCACUCGACUUCAAAACUUGUAUCUAUUCGGAAACAACUUCACUGGUUCAAUCCCAUCAUCUUUGUGCCAUUUACCAAAGCUAGAGUUUUUGAAUUUGGGAAACAACAAUCUGCGAGGGCAGAUUCCUGUCAAGAUUGGAAACCUUUCCACCUUGAAGACUUUGCAUUUGGGAACCAACCAGCUUUCAGGUUCCAUUUUCCCCCUGCAAUUUAUAUUUGAAGAUAUAUUUCUGCAUUUUUUGCUUACCAACAAUUGUUUUAUAAUUACAUAAAACUAGUUGUAAUAUCAAUUAUAUUUUUUAGGUCAAAUCCCUGGAACAAUUGGUGACCUUCUGAACUUAGAGAGGCUUCGCUUUUCAGAAAACAACUUAACAGGGCCUGUGCCUUCAAGCAUUGGGAACUUGACAUUUCUGAGUUACCUUGAUUUUUCCUCUAAUAGCUUGUCAGGUAGAGUAUCACACUCUCUCUAUAUAUAUCUUAUUUUAUGCUAAUUUUCAAUUAACAACAAUGAUAUCAUUUCAUUAAAUAUUAACUAGUGCCUAUACUAAUUUAUAUACAAAUUAUGGCAGGUGCACUUCCAUUUCAGAUUGGAAACUUACAGAAUCUUGAAAUCUUAUCCUUGGGAAAUAAUAGUUUCUCUGGUUCCAUCCCUCCUCCAAUCUUUAACAUAUCGACAGCAUUGAUGAUUUGGCUUGGUUUCAAUCAACUCUCAGGCCAGCUUCCAUCAACAGCAGGCCUUGGACUUCCAAAACUAGAAGGGCUUUACCUUGAGCUAAAUGAACUAAGUGGACCAAUCCCAACCUUUAUCUCCAACGCCUCUAAUCUUAUUUUUCUUCAACUAACGAAUAAUUCUUUUUCUGGAACUGUUCCGGAUACGUUUGGCAAUCUAAAAUAUUUGCAACGGUUGGACUUAGGGCAUAACAACUUAAGUAGCAAACCUUCUUCCCCUGUAUUGAGCUUUCUCUCAUCAUUGACAAGCUGUAAAAGCUUGGAAGUUUUGAUAUUUGAUGAUAACCCUUUGAUCAAUGGUGAACUUCCAGUUUCUGUGGGGAAUUUAUCUGCUUCUCUAACUCUUUUCUAUGCUUCUCAUUGCAACAUUAAGGGCAGCAUCCCCUGCGAAAUCGGAAACUUAAGCAAAUUGUUCUGGUUAGGCCUUGACCACAAUGACUUCACUGGAACAAUACCUGCAACACUUGGAAGAUUGAGAGAGUUGCAAGACGUUGAUCUUGGGAGUAACAAGCUUGAAGGAAGCAUUCCAUCCGAGUUAUGUCAUCUUGAAAGGUUGGCUUACUUAACUCUCACUGACAACAAACUAUUUGGACCAAUACCAGAAUGCUUAGGUCAUAUGGUUUCUCUGAGGAAUCUUUUCUUAGGCUCCAAUAGUUUUACCUCAAUCCCAUCAACCUUGACGAGACUCGACGGCAUCUUGUUCCUAGAGUUAUCUUCGAAUUCACUGAAUGGAUCACUCCCAACUGAUAUCGGGAACUGGAAGUCUGUGACCAAUUUGAAUUUGUCAGAUAAUCGGUUCUCAGGUGCUAUCCCAAGCAGCAUUGCUGAUCUCAUGCAUCUAACUCAUCUCUCGUUAUCUGGUAAUAUGUUGCAGGGUUCUAUUCCUGCAUCAUUUGAUGAGUUAAUAAGUUUGGAAUACUUGGAUCUCUCUAGGAAUAACCUUUCAGGAAUGAUCCCCAAGUCCUUAGAGAAACUCCAAAAUCUCAAAUCUUUCAAUGUCUCUUUCAAUAGACUACAAGGGGAAAUUCCUAGCAGAGGAUUAUUUGGAAACUACUCGAGCCAAUCAUUUAUAGGCAAUGAAGACUUGUGCGGUCCAUCUCGACUUCAAGUCCCACCUUGCAAAACUGAUCCCUCCAAGAGUGCCAAUCUUUUAAAAUAUAUUCUACCUGUAAUUGGCUCGGUCAUAUUAGUAUCGGUCGUGGUUAUCAUUCUUUUACGAAGUCGAAAUACGAAAACUGAACUACCAAUUCAAGAAAAUUUGCCACCGUUACCUGAAUGGAGAAGAAUUUCUUACCAUGACCUUGCUCAAGCUACUGAUGGAUUUUCUGAAAGCAAUCUACUUGGGGUAGGGAGUUUCGGGUCAGUAUACAAAGGAACUCUCUCAACUGGGAUGACCAUUGCAGUAAAAGUGUUCCACGUAAAUCAAGAUAGAGCCUUUAAAAGCUUUGAUAUUGAGUGUGAGGUACUACGCAACAUUCGUCAUCGGAAUUUGGUUAAAAUCAUUAGCAGCUGCUCUAAUGUUGACUUUAAAGCUUUGGUACUUGAGUUCAUGCCUAAUGGAAGCUUGGAGAAGUGGCUAUAUUCUCACAACCAUUUUCUGAAUGUUUUGCAAAGGUUAAAUAUAGUGAUAGACAUUGCAUUGGCAUUGGAAUAUCUCCACCAUGGUCAUACCCUACCAGUGGUUCAUUGUGAUAUAAAGCCAAACAAUAUCCUGCUAGAUACAGAUAUGAUAGCGCAUUUGGGUGAUUUUGGCAUUGCAAAACUCUUGGGCGAAGAAGAUUCAACGAUACAAACAAAGACACUAGCAACUAUUGGAUACAUGUCACCAGGUAAUGUAGAUAGACUUGUGCUUGACUUCAAAUUAUUCUUCAAAUAAAUUUAUAAUGGAUUUAAAUUAUUUUCUUAUACAGAAUAUGGAUCAGAAGGAAUUGUUUCUACAAAAGGCGAUGUGUAUAGUUUCGGGAUUCUUGUAAUGGAAACUUUCACAAGAAAAAAGCCGACGGAUGAUAUAUUUGGAGAAGAAAUGAGCUUGAAACGUUGGGUGAAAGAAUCAUUACCAUCUCCCUUAGUUGAUGUGGUAGACAGUGAGCUUCUAAAUACAAGAGAGAGAGAAGGGUUAGCAGCAAAGGAUUGUAUAUUAUCCAUUUUGCAAUUAGCUCUGGAAUGUUUAGCAGAGGUAGCAGUGGAAAGGAUUGAUAUGGAAGAAGUUGUUGCAAGGUUGAAGAAAAUCAAAACCAUGUACUUGCGUGGAACUGAGCAAGUUUAAUUUUUAGUUUUGAUACCUUUCUUCACACCAAAAUUCUUUUUCGAGUUUGACCACGCAUUAGAUGAGUAGCAUUGAAUAGAAUUGUGCGUUUGACCAUAAAUGGGAACUCCAUGCAAUACUUCAUAGCAUGCAAAUGCGGACCUUCUCUUGAAGUCUAUGCAAAUGUUGACUUUUUAAAAGUCUAUUGGAAAAUGAAAUUCUAUAAUCCACUUAUAUGGUCGCUUUAACCAAUAAUUCUUAAGCUAGUAUAUUACUUUUUAUUUUUCUUUUUCUUUUGAGGAAUAAUAUUUUAUGGUAUAUAAAAUUAAACAAAAAAUAUGGAGAAAUUGUAAAUAAAUAUUAAUAAUUUUAUUUAAACAUAUUUUCUUAUAAUGUUUUAUUUAAACAUAAUUAUUCAUUGACCAUAACUAUUAUAAAUAAAUAUUAAUAAUUCUUAUAUUUAGAAUCUUGAAUUUAAGAGUUUAGAGUUUUAGGUUUGGAGUCUCGAAUUUAAGAUCUAGGGUUUAGGAUUGUAGCAUUUAUUUAUAAUUAUGUUUCAAUAAAAUUAUUCGUAUUUAUUUAUAAGUCCUACACUAUUUUUUGUUUUAUUCAAUGAUGAGGUGUUUUGUACAUUGAUAAUGCAUAAAAUAUUCUCUCUUUUUUAAUUUUUUUUCAACGAUUUUAUAGUUGUAAACACUAAUUAAAAGUGUCUAUAAAUGGAGUCCAGACAAAUUAGGAUUGAACAAACGUGUCAUUAUGAUCCUUAAAUAAUUCAUGUUGGUUUUUUAAAUUAGAAUUUAUAUUUUUUUAAAAUAAAUUCAAAUAAAUAUUAUGCAAGACGAGCAUAGCAAUUCUCAUAUCACCCAAUCAAUAUUCUAAUAUAAAUGAAAACAACAAAUUCAAACUCGCACCUCUUCGAGUCCUUUGCUACUGGUCUUCGAGUCUCACUAUAUCCUCAAUGACAUCCCUUUCAUCUCCCCUCACACUUAAUCCCAAUUUCUUCCCCACUUCUCAGGUCUGCUUUGCCUCCCUUAGAAUUAUCUUCCUCCUGUUGCUGAUGUCCGAAUCUGACAAUGAUAAAUUCACGAUUUUCUCUUCACUCUUUGACACCAUACUAAUAAACCCACGUGGAUGUUAUGUCAAUAAUUAACUAAUUUUUAAAAAUUAAAAAAUUAUUUUAAUAUGUAAAAAAUUAUUUUUUAUAUUUUAAAAUUAAAAAAAUUUAAUUGUUGACGUGGCAUUCACAUAGACCGCUGUCGAAACCAUUUUUUUGAAAAAAACAAAAAUUUUAGGUUGUCGACUUUAAAAAAUGAAAAUUGGGAGUCGCCACCAAUCUUUUAUUAAGGUGUAAUUGGGUCACCUAAAAAUGACUUUGGUCUACAAAUUUUAGAAAAACGGGUCCGGGAGUCAGUUACGUAUGAGGAAGGAUUAGCACCCUCAUUAUGCCCAAAAAUUGGUACCUAGUUAAUUAAUUAAUACCUUAAUGUCGAAAAUUUGAAAAUCGUAAUCCUUAGCAAAAACUUAAAAUGUUAUGUAUUAAGACCCUUAUCAUUUCAGAGAAAUAAAAUACCACACCCAAUACGUUAGGGCACGACAUUCUAAUUUUCCCCAAAAAUGAAUUAGGGCAAAAUACUAGUGCAAUAAAAAAAAUGUAAAAGAAUAUUCAUUUAUUCAAUAUUUAAGAAAUCGCGGCCCAAUACGUUAGGGCACAAUUCCUCCAAAAUCUCAAACUCGGAAUAUUUUCUUUAUUAUUUUUUUAAAAAAAUAUUCAUUUCGAGAAAUCAAUACGUCACAUCUAAUACGUUAGGACACAACGUGUUGAAUUCCCAAUAAUGAGUUCUUAUUUUUUGAUUAAAGAGAAUCCUUGAUUGUUAGAUUUACAAAAAAAUCGGAACCCAAUACGUUAGGGCUCAAUUUCCUUGAGAAAUCCUAAAUACGAGUAUUACCUCUAUUUUGAAGCGUUUUAUUUUAAAAUUAAAUAAGAGAUAGGGUAAUGUUAUGUUGAAUAUGUGAAUGAAUGCCCCUUAAACAAAUAUAAUAAAUACAACAAUUUCAUAGAAAUAAUAUGACUAAACAAAUAAAUAAACAAAAUAAUGAUGUGCAAGAUAUCAAAUAAAUAGGCAAGAUAAUAAUAAAAAUAUGGAAACAUAAAUUAAUAAGCGAAUAAAAAAAUACAUGUACACAUAAAAAAAUACAUAAGUUUUAAACAAUUAAUAUAAUAUUAAAAUUAAUUAAAUAAAUUAAACAUGUGUAUAUAAAAUAUAAGUAUGCGAAAAUUUUAGUAUAAAAAAACAUAAAUACAUGCUUAAAUAUACAUAUAAAAAAUAAUAAUAAUUGCAUAUGAGAAUUAUAAAAUAAAAAUUAAAAGAAUACAAUUGCAUUAUCAAAAAUAUUGAUUUUUAAAGAAAAUAUGAAAAUGGACUAAAUUGGAUCGCCAGUAAAGAUCCGGGGUAAAUUCGUAAAUAAAUAAAGUUUGGAGGACUUAAUUGAACUCUCGAAUUACAUAGAAGGGCUGGAAGGGCAAUUUUCCCUUCUCCUCUAAACAACGCCAUUCAAAUUAGACCAAAUUGAAAUAAAAAAAAAUAAAAGGGUAAAUUAAAAAAACUUAAUUACAAAAACAUUAAAAGGCGGAGGGGCUAAAUAAAAUAAAUAAAAUUCGUAGUGGUAUCACCUUCUCCCUUUUUUUAAAAUCGUAAAUAAGUAAAAAAUAAUCAAAAGAAAAAAAAUAGUAAGCCACCUUUAAAAAACUGUCAAUCGUUCUCUUUUUUUAUUCCUCCGUUUCUUUCUUUUUUUACAAUGAAGGGAGAGGCCUCUAUUUAUAGUUGAGUCUCCCCAAAUCCAACGGUACAGAUCAAUUACAUCAACGGCUGAUAUUAAAGGGUAUCUACAAAUUAAAUCUCUAAGAUUACAAAAUCAUAUCUUCUAAGAUUGCAUAUCAUAUCUAAGAUUAUAUAUCAUAUCUAAGAUUGCAUAUCAUAUCUAAGAUUAUAUAUUAUAUCUAAGAUUGCAUAUCAUAUCUAAGAUUGCAUAUCCCUGAAGAUUAUGUUUCCAUAAGCUUGUAGAUGGACCUUCAACCUUUUCAAGUAAUGGGCAAUUCCGAUCGGGCCAAAUGAUAUUACUUUGGGUUUUUUUUUUGUGAGCCCAGGCUAAAAUUGGGUAUUACAACCGUCACGUCAAAAAAGUUGACAAACAUUAAAUUUUCCAUCCAUUUUAAGGUUAUUUGAUAAACAAUAGAAGUUCAAACAUUAAAAAAAACAAAAAAAAUUAAAUGAAAAACUAAAAUGAACUUUUUUAUAAAGUUGAAGGGCCAAACCAGUUAUUAUGCCUAAAAAUUAUUAUUAAAAAGUGAAGUUUGCCCUUAAAAAUUAUUAUUAAAAAGUGAAUUCCAAGUACUUAAUUUUGAGUUCAAUUAGUUAUCUAGUGCUUUUUUAUUAUAAUAUCUUAGGUUAAGGCAGCUUUUAACAAUGUUAAGUUUGCUUCAAAAAUUAUUAUUAAAAAGUGAGGUAGUUAAGUUUGAGCUCAAUUAAUUAUUCAGUGCUUUUCGAUUAUAAUAUUUUAGGUUGAGCCAGUUUUGAAUCGUAUUAAAAAGUAGUGUUUAUUAGUAUUUAAGACAGUUCAACAAAUUUUGGUAACAUUAAUAUCAUUGGGAUUUGACUCUUGAUGAUACUUUGGAUGACUAUAAGCCCAUCUAUGAUAUUCAAACUAUUUGUAGCAACAUAUUCUGGACAUUGGUUUGGAUUGAGAUUGGAUCGAAUCGGGUAAAACUUAGAAGCAUAUCUUGAAGAUUCAAGACUUAUCCUUAACUCAUUAAAGAUAUUCGUUAGGCAUGUUAUCUUGCUAGUUGGAUGAGAAAAUUGAUUAUAAUUGAUACAAUAUGUAAACAAGAUUGAUUGCUUCGAGUGUGCUAAAACGUAUUAUCCUCUUACUUACGUUUGUAUAGCGAAGAAACUAUGGGUAAUUUUAGAGAUGAUAUCAUAUUGUUAAAAAAGAAAACCAAAAAACUACUGCUCAAAAUCUCCAUUGCAAAGCUUUAAUCAAAAUUACACCAAAAUGCUAGCUGCUAAGGAACUCAUUAAAGAAACCAGUAUCAUCACCAUUAUCAAACACCAUGACGCAAGUUUGAAAGAAAUCAUAAGAGAUAUCAACUCCAUCAUAACUGAAUCAAAUGGAUCAUGCUUCCAUCAUGAAAAGCUUUUUUAUUUAUUAGGUGUCCCAAUUCGAUGUUCUUGUAACACAGGUUAGAACAAAACAACAUAACAGGCUGUUUAAAAAAGAGUAAGGCAAAACACACCAGAUUUAUUAUCACAAUUCAAAUAACAAUUCUAUUUUGCAGAGUCUUAAUUUAUUCAACAGAAGAUCCAAAAAUCUACUGAUUAAAGCUCAAUAAGAAGCAAUUGCAGGUCAAUAAAAAUUCUCAACUGUUACAAUCACUCAUCCAAAAACCUCACUUUUACAAAUAUCAAUUAACUCUCUAAUAAAAUGUCUAACAAAAGAGCGUAGAAAUACAAGAAAAAAAAGAGUAAAUAAUUAACCAAAAGCAACAAUGCAAUCUAUGUAUAGGCUAAACAUCUUCUCCAAGUAAAUAAAGAGAUAAAUAAUAUUUUAAUUUGAAAAAUUAUCCCUAUAAUCCCUUUUUGAAUUUCAAACUCAAAACCUCCAUUGUCAAAUAAAUACAAAUAAACUUUUGGAAAAUACAAUUGAAAAAUACAAACCUUCUCCUUUUCGAAUUGAAGUCUUUCAAUUAUGUAGAAAUAAUUUGAUGAUUUAAUCAAAGAAUCAUUUGUUGAUAGAAAACUUAUAACAUAUUUCACUUAUCAUCCAUUCUGACGAUCGGUAUGAAUGAGAGAUGUAAGCGGAUUCUGUCAAAAAUCUCGAAGUUGUUUAGGAAAUUGUUUGAAAAUAUAAAAUUGACAAUUUGGUGCUAAAGGGAGUACCCACUCUCCUAGCGAUCAGAACCGUGAGAAUACAAUUUUCAUAUUUCAUGUGUUGACAAUGUACUGAACCAAUUAUUUGGGCUGUGCUAAUUAUAUGGACGAUAUCUAGCCCGAUUACCCUUAUCUAGUUCCUUGAAUCAAGGAAGUUGGAUUUGAUUGAAUAAUUAAAGACUUAGCUACCAAGGAUACUUGUUUAUAUUGUUCCUUAUUAUUAUAUUAUAUUCAGCUUAUAUGGUGCUUUGUUUUACAGAGAUUGUAAUAGAUAUUCUUAUAUAAGAAUAUCGACCUAGGGAAACUAAACUGCGUAAACAACAUUUUUGUGUUCGGUUUCUUUAUUGUUCUCGUUUGGUGAUUGAAGGAGUACCCACUACCUUAAGUACCACCCCACUUAAACAGUUUGAUGCUCAGCAACGUUUUUAUAAAAUCAUAGAAAAUAGAUAAAAAUCAAUUUUUUAAAUCGUAAAAUCUUGUUAAAACCAUUUUAAAUUUAAAGGUGUUGGAAAACAUCCAAGAAAAUAUACGAGGUUUGGAGACCUCAUUUUCUACGAAAUAGAAGAGUAGCACAGUCAAAACCUCAAAUAUCAGUACUUAAAGCCUUGGGUUACCUAUACUCUCCUAACGAGCAUUCUGCCAAUGUUAGUGUAUCCCAUUCCCACCUGACUUCAAACCAUUAAUAUUCUUCCAACUUAUACUGACUUCCUUUGUUGAUAUAUCCUUCUCAUGCCAAAACAACUAAUAUUUUUAAUUUAAUGUUGCCAUUAUAUAUUUAUAUUGCCUUUAAACUAAAACAAUAUAUCGUUGCCAUGCUUUAAACUUGUUUGAACUAAAGAAAAUAAAAAUUAAUUAAAACUAUUUCGAUUCAGUUACUAGUUUCGAAAAAAUUUUGAUUCAAUUAAUUAAAAAAAAUUAAAUUUUAACUACUUUAAUUAAUAGUAAUUCAAUUUGGAUAAUAACCUAAUUGGCCAUACAUAACGAAUGUCAAAGCAAAUCACCAAAUAGAAAACAAAAUUCACAAAGUCAUCCUCAAAAAACAUAAAAUUAGUGCAGCAAACUAUCAUGUAGACUGGGGUCUUCUUCCACAAUCAGCUUCACCAGUCCUUUCCAAAUAUACACCAACACCACCUAAACCCCCCUUUCAAGUUGCUUAAAUUUCCAUAACCAAGACCGAAAAUCCACUGUGGUCCCGUAGUCCAUAAAUGCUUAAUACAGGGACUUUAUAUAGAAGUUGAUCAAUUAUAAUUUUCUUAAAAAAAAGAAACUAAAACAGAGAGUGUAUCUUUAAAUUUUACAAAUUAAGAGUGUCGAAACCGUUUUUUUGAAAAACAACAUUUUUAGGUUGUCGACUUUUAAAAAUGAAAAUUGGGAGUCGCCACCAAUCUUUUAGUAAGGUGUGAUUGGAUCACCUAAAAAAACGGCUUUGGUCUACGAGUUUUAGAAAAACGGAUCCGGGAGUCAGUUACGUACGAGGAAGGAUUAGCACCCUCGUAACGCCCAAAAUUGGUACCUAGUUAAUUAAUCAGUGUCUUAAGGUCGAGAAUUUGGAAAAACGUAAUCCUUAGCAAAACUUAAAAGGCUACGUAUUAAGACCUUUAUUAUUUCAGAGAAAGAAGAUACCACACCCAAUGCGUUAGGGCACAACAUUCUAAUUUUCCCCCAAAAAUGAAUUGGGCCAAAAUACUUAUACAAUAAAACUUUAAAAGAACAUCCACUUAUCCAAGAUUUAAGAAAUCACACCCAAUACGUUAGGGCACUAUUCCUUUAGAAUCCCAAACUCGGAAUAUUUCCUUUACUUUAAAAGAAAGUCCGCUUAUCCAAUAUUUAAGAAAUCACACCCAAUACGUUAGGGCACAAUUCCUUUAAAAUCCCAAACUCGGAAUAUUUCCUUUAUGAUUUUUAAAAAAUCUUCAUUUCGAGAAAUCAAUGCGUCACAUCCAAUACGUUAGGACACAACGUGUUGAAUUCCCAAUAAUGAGUUCUUAUUUUUUUAAUUAAAGAGAAAUGCUCAAUUGUUAGAUUUAACGAAGAAAAUCAGAACCCAAUACGUUAGGGCUCAAUUUCCUUGAAAAUCCUAAAUACAAGCACUAUCUCAAUUUUGAAAAGUUUGAAAUCGAGUAAAAAAAUGAUGUGAUGUUACAUUAAAUAUACAAUGCAAUAAUAAAUAAAUAAACAAGCGAAAGACAUAAGCAAAACUAUAAAAUAUAAAAAAAAUAAAGGAUAUAAAGUGUGCUUAUAAUAAGUACAUUGAAGUUAUGGAGAAUACAAGACAUACAUGGAUUUAUAUGAAGAUAUAGACUAUAAGAUUCAUACAAAAUAUAAUGCAUAAAAAGAAAUAUAUAAAUAUAUAUAUUAUAAAAUUUGUGUAAAAAAAAUAAAUAGGUAGUUAAACAUUUUCAAAAAUAAAUAAAUAAAAAUAGAUAUAUACGUGUAUAUAUAUAAAUAUAAAAGAACAUUCAUUAGAAAAAAAAAUAAUAUGUAUACAUGUACAUAUAAAAUAUCUAUAGAUUAAAAAUAAUUAAAUAAUAUCUACAUUAUCAAAAUUGAAUAAAAUAAAUAAAUAUGUGUAUAUAUAUAAAUAUGAGAAAAAUAUUAAUUGAAAAAAUAUAUAUAAUAUGUACAUAUAUAUAAAAAAAUAAUUAUAUACAUAUAUAGAUUAUAAAAACGAUAAUUACAUUAUACAAAAAAAAUGAUAAUAAUUAAAUUAAUUAAUUUUUAAAAUAUUAAAAAAAAACUAUGAAGAAAACAUGUACAAGUAUACGUGUACAUAUUUACAAAAGUAAAAACAAGUUUUUGAAAUUAAAAAUAUAAAAGUAUAUAUAUUAUAAAAAAUGUUUGUAUGUACAUAAAAAUAAUAAUAAUAAUAAUAAUAAUAAUAAUAAUGAUGAUGAGGAAGAUGAGAAAAUAAAAUUAAAAAAACGAAUUGCAAAAAACAAAUAGUUAAAAAAAACUAAAAUAACAAGAAAUAAAUGAAAUUUAAGCAAAAUAAUGGGCGAAAUCGCGACACGCGAAUUACAUGGAGGGCCAAAUCGGAAAUAAUCCGCCUCCCCAAAACGGUGUCGUUUCGCUAGCAUGAUUUAAAACAAUUUUUUUAGAAAAAAAACAUUGUUUGCAGCAUAGAAAAAAAAGAAAACAAAAAAAAAAAACAAAGGCUCUCUACUAGGGUUUUUAACCCCAGCCCCCUGACGCCAUCGUUCACUCUUGCCGAUGCUCCGAUUGCGACGGAGACAGCACAAAUCCGGCGAUUCCAACUUGAGGAGUAAGCCCUUUUCUCCUUUCUUUAUAUUUUAAGCAAAAAUAAAUAAAGAGAUAAAGAAACUAAAAAUAUAUAUACAUCUAUGUAUAAAUGAAAAAUAAAAGAACGAUAAUCCUCAAGGUAAUAUAGAGAGAAAAAAAACCUUUGUAUUCAAAAAAGAAAAUUUUCCUUCUCUCUCUUUUCAGUCUCCUCCUCUUUUACAUUACAUUCAGUGGCUUUAUAUAGCCAUUCUAAAAAAAAAUCGUAUAAAGAAGAAACAAAUCUCUUUUAUUUGAUUUGUGAAUCUUUGAUUUCAUUUCCUUUUUUUUUUCUUGCUUGAUAUGCUUGAUUUGAUUUUGCAAUCCUUGAUUUUCUUUCCUUUCUUGUUUGUUUCCUUGCAGGUGAAGAUCGAUGACGCUCGUGACUGCGGCGCAAAGUCUUCUUAGAAACCCUAGGGUUUCUGCAAAUGAUUUGAGCCACUGAAAUUGGGCCAUUUUCGAAAUUGGGCCACCGUUUUAAAUUGGUUUUGGGCCUUGUGGCCCGUUUGUAAUUUUGGGCCUUUUACCCGGGCCAAAAUCGGGUAUUACAAAGAGUAACACCAAUUUACAUUUGUUAAAAGAAAUAUGAAAACAUCUAAGAAUCCAGAUAAUCAACCCCUGUCACUAUAUUUCAAUCAUUACAGCUUAUCAAAGAUGAAAAAUUACAUAUUCUAGGAUUCAUCAGAGAAAUCAAACAGCCUUGUUGAUCCCAAUCUGCAGACACUAUUUGACAGAAUUCUGAUGCUGAAACAUCCAACAAGAACCAGCAAAUGCAAAGCAACAUAGGCCACAAUCCCCAUGCAAGGACUUGUGAGAUUUCUAUAAAGUUUACUACCACAAAUGUGACAAUAUUCUAUGUACAACACAGUGAUGACUAAUCAGGCAGAAGAGGUAACCUGUCCACACCGUGAGGAGAACCAUUUGCACCGUAGGGCUCGAAAUUUUCAAAAUCAUUCGCAUUGGCAUCUUCACCGGAGCUUUUGUCCUCAUCUUUUACCAGUUUAAAUGGGAGGAUCCGUAAGCGUACAUCUGAACCUUUGCCGAUUUUCUCUGAUUGUAGUUGGUAUUUCUCAAUGAGCUCUGUUUGUAGAGAUAUAAUCUGGGUUGGCCUUGGAAGUAGUUCCGCAGGUUCCUCUUUUGGGAUUACUACCUGUUCGAUGGCUAUUCUUGCCUCCUGAAAUGAUUAAUGCAGUCGUAAGCAAGUCAGUGAAAUAGUUCCGAUAUAUAGAGCAAGUAGAUAUUGUAUACAGCAUACUUUACGCACUGAUAUAUUGCUACAAAGUCUAAUUUAUCAAUCCUUGAGAUCAUAACUUCUGCUCAAGGGACGGGCAAACGGGAGGAUAUCAUUGUUAGCAUAAUGAGUAAAAAAACAUGGAUUUAUUGGAGCAUUUCCUUUUGAAAAACAGAUUUCUCAUGAGCCUAUCUGAAGGUUUCAGGCUAAAUGGUUCAUAAACAUGCUCAAAAGUAUUGCUCUGGCUAAAGCUGAACCACUAGCAAGGGCUUAAAGAGCCUAUAACCACUGAACUUGCAAAAAUUAUAGUUUCCUUUAGAAAGCAAAAAGAAAAAUUCAGAGAUCAAACUGGAACAAAAAUAUCAAGUCUUUACCUCUAAGGCAUCAACCUUCUCCAAAAUAUUCAUAUCAUUUUCUGAUCCAGGGUUCUUCAAUCCGUAGGGAUAAUCAUCUUUUAAUGCCUCUAAGGCCUUUGUGAUCUGCAUUGAUGAGCUUGUCUGCAAGGGAGGAAAAGAAAAAGACUGAUUUAUUACCACACUUUGAUGAUGAGAAAGUUAAUUAAUGCUAAACAAGAAGAAGCUCUUCACCUUCGCCACAUAGACAGGUAUCUUAUGAGAUUUAGCUGCAGCCUGAAUCCCAGAGUUCUUUCGGAGCUUCGAAAGCACAGCAAACAGCACACCUGCCUCACUUAUAUUAUCAGUUAAUUGAACUGCAGCAUCCAUCUUUAACUUCUUAAGUCCUUGUAUCACGCUUGCCUCCUGGAUCUAGAAUAACUGCUUAUUCUGUAAGUUUCAUUUGUACUACUUUCUCAUUAUUUAUAACUAUGACAACUACUGACAAUCAGAACUAAAAAAGCUUUAACCGAGACAUUAUAUCUUCAUGAAUCUGACAAAAUUUGGUAUCAUAUCUAAACAAAAAUACCUAAAUUGGCUAUAUAGAAGGCUUAUAAAAUUGGCAUCAUAGGGUCACAUCUAUUGAGCCUGAUUUUGAGUCAACUUCAAACCGAUUAACAUCUGGGUUAUAUAUGGGAAAUCAAAACUAAGAUUUAACUGAAUAUGACAAGUAAAAUCAAAUGCUGAAUACAUAAGUUAACUUCAUUAACUGCCAAAACAUAAUCUUAAUUUAUAAAUCAAAACGGCAAUGUAUGAUAUCAAGACCUCUUACCCCAUAGACAUACAUAUGAAGUAAAUCCCUGUCUUCCGUUGAAUCGUCAGCCAUUUUUGAAGAAAGAUCAGAAGGGAAAUGGUUACCGGUACUAUUCUCGUCACUAGUCUCUGAAAGAUCUCCAGUGACUACUAAAUCCUCUUUGUCAGAGCUGAUAUCAGUAAAAGUCAGUGAGCUCUCUUCCAGCCCCAGAGAGUUCAUCUUGCGGAUUUCAAUGCGUGGAAAACGACCUUCACAGUAGACAAGUAACCGAUGUAAUAAACUAUCCUGGAUCACCCACUUUGAUUAUUCCUGGUAGCACUAAAUAGAAAAGGAAAUGCACCUGCAAGAACAGCAUCAACUGUUGCUUCAAGGCAACGGUGAACACGUAACUCAGUCUUAGAAACAAUCUCUACACCACAACUAAAUGUCGAUGGUCCUUUCCUCUCCAGCACAGUCUUCUGGACACCCCUACGGUUCGCUUCUUCAUCCCCUAGAGUCACACUCUGAAAAAUUAUGUAUUUAAUGAAACUAGGAAAAAUUAUAUUCUCAGUCAUGAUUGAAUUUCAAAGAGCUAUCAAUUAUUUUAAGAAAAUAUUAUGAAAAUAUAACAAUAUCUUUGCAUUGACAAAACGAGAAAGAGCAAGACUACAAUAAUGUAGUUAGUAACAAAGAUUCAUUAACUAUAAAACAGCAGGAAAUAACAAAAUCAUAAGCUCAUGGAUGAUGAAAUCACAGACAAAAAGCAGCUUCGCUUGUUUAUAAUUUUAUACCGACAAGUUGAACUUAAAGGCAGCACAUCAUAUCUUUACCUAGGAAAUAUUUCACAUGAGAAUUUGUUAGAACAGAAUUCUAUAUGACAGCUAUUCUUUGCACUGCCACCCUCUUCAUCAGAAGAAACAAGCAUUUAAUUAAAGAUGAAAAAGACACAGAAAGGUUAGGAUCUUCCUAAAGAUAUUGCCUCAUCUUUCUAAACAUUACUCCCCAGACUGCACUCAGACCUGUACUAUUGAUCCUGAAAGGCUUUGGAAUAAAGGUGCCAGUAACCCCUACAUGUUCAGUAAAUAAUAGGAAAGGGUAUCAGUGCAACUUGCUCACCUGUAUUCCACCAAUAAGGAUCUCCAAAGAAGGAUUCAUAAUCAAAUUCUCAAUGGUUACUCCAUGAGCAGUGGCAACUAGCUGAAUUCCACGUUGUGCAAUUGUGCAUGCGGCCAUUGCCUCCAGUUUUGUCCCAAUUUCAUCAAUCACGAUAACUUGUGGCAUAUGAUUUUCAACUGCUUCUAUCAAUACCUGCAUUAUAUAAAAUUGCAAAAAGUUAAACAAGAAAUUGCUGGUCCUGUUAAGGAAGAGAAGUUAUAAAGGACAGGACAAACUUGGGGAAAUUUUGAAGUGUUCUAAAGGGGCAGUAGAAAGACAUUAUUGAUUUUAUAUAUAAGAAUGCCAGGUCAUCUGAUUUAUGCAUGUGAACUCCUAUAAUUGCUAGGAAUGCAAAGUCUUAAAAGGAUUUAUGCAGUAAGGUGAACAGAAGAGUGCUAAUAAAGGCACAUAUACGGACCACAAAUUUCCAUUCCCUCUAAAAGGGUUAGAUCUGAUUUUUUUACAUAUAAUUAUGUUUAUGAUCACAGAAAGAGAGAUCUUUAAUUACUGAGGAUGUAAAGUAGGAAAAGUAGUACGACUUUAUAAGAGAUUAUUUUCAGAAUGCAAAAGAACUCAGUUAAUACCCUUAAAUUUUUCAACUACGAAAGUUUAAUCUUAGCACACACCAUAACAUCAACACAGAUACUUUUCUGUAAGUAACCAGAGAAGAAAUGAUAACUGAGUCCAGCUUGUACCUUAUGUUGCAUAUCAGAGUCAGGGACUUGCAUUCUCCGUGCACAACCAAUUCCAGCAUGCGGUAUAUCACCAUCGCCACCUAUCUCAUUGGAGGUGUCAACAAUCAUCACACGUUUCUUGUAAUCAUUUGCAAGCAUCCUCGCUAUAUCCCUGCCAUUUGUUUUUAGAAAUUUAGGUUACCCUAGCAAUAUCAUUGGAAAGAUUCCUCCACAAGUAGACAAAACUGCAGCUUUUGGAACAGAAGAAUUAUUCAAACAACAAAAGCAUAUAUUCAGCUGAUCAGAUAUGGUUGGAGCAUAGAUGAAAAUGCAUAUUGGCUUUUGCUAGUUCUGGCUGAUUGAUAGCAGAAAACUUUUUUCAGCAUUAAGAUAUAUCAUCUAUAAAGAUUUUAAAACCCUUCCCUUACACUGAGAUUAAUCAUGUUCAACAAGUAAAAAAUUUGAAAGCCAUUUGUAAUCUAAUAAUAAUUCUGGGCUAACAAGCUCAAAUCUUAAGAACAGCCGCUGAUAGCAAAUAUGCUAAAGGACAUGAACGGUUCCACUUGAUUCCUCUUGGUAUUGUACUUCAGCAGGAUAACCAAACAUGACCAUCUUGCUUUUAAAAAAUUUAGAGAAUUCUAUUGAGUAAAGAGACAUUAACUUGGUAACCAGUUAAAUUUUAGUGUUUGAAUUUUGAAAUACUUGCACUCAACUUUGCAAAAUAUUAAGAAUGAGAAUGGGGAAAGCAAUCCUAGUCAUGCAACCUUGCCAAACAAAUCAACAGAUCAGAGAUAGAAACAACUAACCUAAUGAUUGUUGUUUUUCCCACCCCCGGAGGACCAAUGAGCAGUAAAGAAGCCCCAUCUUGAACUAAAUCUCUCAAUAAAUCAGCACUGCCUGAUAUUGCCCGACCAACACGACAAGUUAAACCAAUAAUUGUGCCUUUUCGAUUCCUGAUUGCACUAAUGCGAUGUAAUGUUCGGCUGAUGCCUGCUCGAUUAUCAAUGGCAAAGUCCCCAACCUGCAGUUUUGGUACUUGUAAUGAGCAAACAGACUUCACAAAACAAAGAAAGGUAAACUGCAAGCUCUAGUAAAUGAAGAGAUCCUAGUUCAACUAAGAUUGUUUAAAGGAUACAAGUAAAUUAUGAUAAAACAAGCAGAUUUCAGCUACCACUUUGAGCACAUUGAGAGCCAUAUAGUCUCAUGACAGUGAUAAUGUAUUACUGAAAUCCAUUAGGGGAAAAAGAAAACCACCAGGCAUCCACGUUCUGAGAAGAUAAUGCUUCAGCAGCAACACUAUAAUUCAAAAUUAUCAUGUUUUUUAGCAUUCACUUUUAACUCGGAACCAAAUGACCUUCAACCUAUUGAAAAUUUCAAAAUAUCCCCAGGAUAAUUUGACAAAAAUGCAUAUGGAAACACCCAUAUGUUGUGAUUUUCUUUUCUUUUUUUUCUUUUUCCCUUUUCCUUAUCCAAUUUAACAAAGGAUAUCCAUUUAUUUUCUCUCCCCUCAAUGGCCAUCCUUUUUGUUUCAUAAUCAUUACAAUGUACGUACUCAUUAGCAUACUUCGAUAAGGAAAAACAAAACAAAACAAAAAAAAGGAUAACUCCUCAAAUACUAUCCAAAGGAGUUAAUCGAACACUUAAUAUGCAAACAAGCAAAGGGGGGGGGGGGAUGAUGCACCUGAGAAGUAGCAUGCUCGAUAUCUUGAACCGUGAUUGGACAAUCAGAUAAUACAAAAUCCCCUGAAGGGAACCUAGCCAAAGGUUUCCUCCCUAUAUCCAUAACCACUUCAAUCAACUCUCUUAACUCUUCAUGUUCCCUGAUUCUCCUUCUCAUCUCCUCUGGCAACAAAGACAAAAGACGGCCUAAUUCCACGUCGAACUCAUCCUCCAAAGAAGAAGAAAAAGCAGGGGAUUUUAUUGGAUACCCAGAAAUUCUUUUGGUGAAAAAGUGAGGAAAGUUUUGGUUUGGGUAGAAAUUAAGAGGGGAAAACUGGGAUUUGAAGUUGGGUUUAAAGAACAAAAGCUGUGGUUUCCAUUUGGUGAUUAAAGGAGGUGAAUGGUGAAACGGAGAAUAACAAAACAUCUGAUUUUAAUUCUUUUGGUUUUUCUUCUUUGGCGGGAAAAACUAGCAGAGAGUUUCAGCUUUCAAUCAGGAAAUUUCUGUACCUUGUUUUUGUUUCUGGUUUUGUUUGUAGGAAUUUUAUUUUUGUUUUGGACGAUAAACAGAGUAAAAUUUUAAAACUAUACCAACCACAAAAUUUUAUUAUUAAAUAAUAAAUUAGAAGAAAACUACAAAGUAUAAUUCCAUUUAUCACUUAUAUUAUACGGUAUAUAUGUUCAAUAAAAAUAUUAUCUGUUGAUUUAGAUGUUGUUAUGGUUGAUAGGAUUUUAGCUCGGUUUGUAUUCAUAUUGUUAUCAGUACAAAAGAUAUGAGUUCGAGCAUAUUGAGGCGCAUUUGGAAUAGAUUAAUAUGGGAGAUUUUAAGCAUUCUACCAACUUAAAAACUUCUUAAACAAUUUUUUUUGUAAGUCAUUUGUUUCUUAUUUUUUGUUUUAUCUAAUUAAGUUGAGUUUUAUAUUUUUUUUGUUUGUUUUUCCAUUGGUUAAUAAGAAGAUAUAAAGUAAAAAUAAAAAUAUUUAAAUAUUUGAAAAUAUUAAAGUAGAUAUAAACUUAUUAAAAUUAUAAAAAAAACUUAUAAAAACUUAUAAAAAAAUCUAAUAAAUUAUAAAAAUCCUAAAAUUAAUAAAAUUUAUUUAAAAUGUUUAAAAUUAUAAAAAAAGUAUCAGAAUUCUUAAAAAUAAAAAUUGUCAAUAAAUUAUAAAAAAUAUUAAAAUUGAUAUAAACUUAUAAAAAAUCAUAAAAAUUUGAAUUGGACUGGACCAAUUGAAAGGACCGGCUAGCCUGAAAUCGGAAAAGGUAUCGAUCCGAAAAAACCAUUAGACCGUUUAAUUAGGGAAUCGAGCGGUUGAACUGAUUUUUUAUUUUUUUAAUAUUUUUUGUCAAACCAAAAUUUCAUUAUAACUAGUAGCAUAUGUUAAAAUGAAAUAUUUUGACCAAAAUUUUCAGAGCCGAAUCGAUAGUCAAAUAUGUCAGGCCAUCUGUUUGUCAAUUCGACUAGCCCGUCCAAUUCAAUAAAACAAAACAUUAAAAAUAAAAAAAAAUGGUUUAACUAUCCGGUUCCCAAGUCAACCGGUCUAAUGGCUUUUUUCAAAUCGGUACCCUUAUCGAUUUAGAUCUAACUAGUUCAAUCGAUUGAUCGAGUUCGGUUCAAGUUUUUAUGAUUUCUUAUAAUUUUUAUAAGUUUAUAUCAACUUCAGUACUUUUAACAUUUUUUAUAAUUUUUAUUAAUUUUAUAGAAUUUUAAUACGUACUUAUAAAAUUUUAAAUAUUUUAAAUAUGUUUUUUAAUUUUAUAUUUUUAUAAUUUAUUAGAAUUUUUAUAUUUUUAUAAUAUUUAUAGUAGUUUAUAAUAUUUAUAAAUUUAUAUCAAUUUUCAUAUUUUUAAUAUAUAAUAAUUUUUAAAAUUUUAUAAUUUUUAAUCAUUUUUAUGUGAAAAAUAUUAGAUGAAAUGAAAAGCUUCUACGUGUCACAAUUUGAUUAGUCUGUUAAUUUAUUUUAACGGUUAACGUAGUCAAUGACAAAAAUCGUUAACGAAUGGGCUUAAUUGAUUAUUAUAAUUAACGACAAAGACUUAAUUGGGUGUGAAUUGAACAUAGGAGCUUAAUUGUUUUGGUUUUUUUUUUAUAUACUCUUUUAAGGGUUUUUUUUACCUAAGUCUAAAAAGAUUAUCACUAAAAAGAAAUUAUAUGAAAAGAGGAAAAUACAAUUAUAGUAAUAUUUAUUAUUUUAAAUAUUUUCUUAACUAAGUUGCUAGGUUAUUGGAGGAGGUGAUUCCUGUUUUAUUGUUACCCAUGGAGGUGGCGUGUACUGUACCAUGUACUAGUAUUUGUCGCCAUCUUAUCCUAGUGGUGCAAUUAAGGGGUCUUUGUCAAGGUCUCUUCUGUAAAAAUGACUUUUCAGAAGAACACUUGCCUUUGCUUUUCUUUUUUGAGUUUAUAUCCGAUGGACAGUGUCCUGUUUCAGGAUCUUUGAAGUACUGAGCUGGAUAUCCAUCAGCUCUAAAGUUGUAGAUAAUGUUGUUCAUCGAACAAGGUUCAUAUUCAUAACUUGGUUGGAACAUCGAGAACUGCACAUUUUGAGAUGUGAAUGUUGGUUGCAUCAUGAACUGUGUAGUGAAGAUUGAGGGUGUGGCAUUUUCUUCGUCUUUCUUGUCAUGUCUGAACUUUAUGAUCAUUGUUUUGUCUGCGUUUGUGGUGAAUGUGGCUUCCGUCAACUAUACCGAUUUUGUGUUCUCGUGGAAUUUGUCGUAGUUGGUCAUCCAGGCUGAUGGAAGUAAGGAGAUCGUUUUUUCUCUUGUGACCACUUUAGGGACAUGCACACAAGUAAUUAUCUUGCGUGUCAUACUUUAAGAACGGGAUCUCAUUCUUUGUUGAGAUGGCGUUGUCAAUUGCAUGAUCUUGGACUCUAUAAGCCAUCUGGUAGUGGAGUGUUGCUUCGUUGGUUGCGCUUACCAUUUCUACUCUAACUAUCUAGAUCUAGACUUUGAGGCAUUUGAGUAGUGUUGGAUCUUUGAGCGCCAUGUUGUAGUUGGGAAAGAACAAGAAGUAGACUAUUCCUGAGUUGAAGGAUGUCCCAGCAAUACCUAUGCAUGCAUGUUCAUAUGUUAGGUAUCUUAAGUCUAAGAGAGCUAUUCUGGCAAAGACUGGUUGUCCUUUACUCUUAUGGUAGCUUAACGCUAGUUUGAGUGCUCCAAAAUGGAUGUGGGAUACCCAUGCUCGAUCCAUUGGUGUGGAAAUUUCGGAGUAAUUUCUAAGGACUUUGAAUGUGCUAGUGAUCCGAUGAAAGAACUUUAAGGGGUUUCUGAAAGCUUUAUAAGGGUUUAAAACAGGUAUGUGAGUAUUCUAUUCAGCUUGAUCAGAUAUAAAAGUAAUUUCGUAUAGAUAAUCUAAUUUAUUUGCAGUAGUUUUCUUAAGAAAUAGAAUAAGAGAUUAAUUAAAAUAAGAUUUAGCAUAUAAAAACUUGAAGGUUAAAAAAAAAUUAACAAUUUCCUAGGAAAUAAAAGCAUCUCUUGGAUAAAACCAAAGAGAACCCAGUUGAUUUAAUGAGCUCAACCAGUCCCUACAGGCAUCAAAAACAAAAAGAUAACCAAGAGCCCAUUAGGAAAACAAAUAGUCUCUUUCAGAAAAUGCAAAAUCCAGAGACCACCUCUAUCUCUCGAGCAAUCUACAACUAAUCCGGCGGGUCUGACCUCCGCCUGUCCUUUUCCACCGCACUAGCAGCAAACAAAGGCACCCUUUCCACCAGAUAAAUUGUUUCACCCCUUCGAAUCCCUUCUGUAGCUAGGAGAUGUGCCAAUCCGUUCUCUUUCCUUGAUACAUAUUUAAAAAUAUAUCAGCCAUAGAUUUCACUCAAAGAUUUUUCAUAUGUAAAAUACGCACCAAUGACGGUUAUUUUGAUAUUUAGGGUGUGUUUGAUUGCCAGUAAAAUAUUUUCCGUAAAAUGAUUUCGGGAAAAUAUUUUACUUUUCUGUAAAAUGAUUUACUUGAAAAUAUUUUCUGGUGUUUGAUUGAAUCUGUGUAAAAUAUUUUCGGCUGUUUGGCAGAUUUCCUGAAAAUAUUUUUCGAAAAAAUUGUUUUUACAUAUAUUGAUAUAUAUUAAUAAAUUUUUAUAUUUUAAAUUAUUUUUACAUAUAUUGCAAUGAUUUAUUUAUAAUAAUACUCAAUUAUUAAGCUACAAUAUUAAUCGUUAUAAAUUGAAAAAAAUUAAUAUCAAAAAAAUUAUUUGUAAUUAUGUUAAAAAAUAAGUAUUGAAUAAUUAAAAAAACAAGUUACUAGAAAAUCGAUAAACAGAAGCAAUUUUCUACCGGAAAUGAAGGAAGGAAUGAAGGAGGCGAUAGAUAGGAGAGCACGGAAAAUGUCUUACGGAAAUUGAAAGGGUAAGACAUUUUCCCUAAAAUGUAACCCAUUUUCCCUUGUUUUGGAGUUCAUUUUCCAAAUGGAAAAUGUUUUCCGCCAAUCAAAAGCUGGAAAAGUUGGAAAUGAUUUUCCGGAAAAUCAAUUCCUUCAAUCAAACAGACCCUUAAUUAAUUCAUGACAUUAAUCAAAAUAUUACAUUAUAUAAAUUUUUUUAUUUUUACCUAUAAUUAUUAUUUAAAAAAUAGUUAAGUAAUUUAUUAUUUAGAACUGUAACAACCCUUUGCUAUAACAACAUUUCGUUAUAAUAGUCAAGUUUCUAGAAGAAUCGGUUUUUUAUGUUUUAUUUUAACCCUCUAUAACAACAUUUCACUUAUAACAAUAAUAUCCAUAGUUAUGACGUACGUUCUUUAUUAAAUUAGUUUUCUAUAACAACGGUCUAAAUUUUCAAGUAAAAUUAUAGUUAUUUCACAUAAAAAAUCAUAUUAAUAAUCAUUUAUUAAAUAAAAAUGAUUAAAUUUCACGUGAAGAAAUAUAUUAAUCAUAUUUUAUUAACUGAAAAUAAUAUUCAAUGAGUGGAAUUAAAGAAAUCAAUUCAAGAAACCAUUAAUUAAGUUCCCUAAUUAAAUAUUCAAUUAUGAAUUUGGAACAUCCUAAACUUAUAAAUUAAUCACUUAAAUUUAGUAAUUCAUUAUAAAGUAAUUAAUGUAAUUUGAUAAUUCAUAUUGAUUAAUUGAACUUGUUAGACUUAUGAGCUUUAUAAUUAAUCAUGAGAAAGAAUAUAAAAUAAAAUAUGCAUAAAAGUAAUAAUACAUGCACUUGCUAUAUAAGUCAAUUAAUUUUGUUGAUUUGAUUCUAACUUUCUUUUUUGAACACAAUUCUCACUUUUUUAUCUGAUGAAAAUUCACGAUAUGAAUUAUAUAAUAAUUUUAGAAUGAUUAUUUGUUAUAAGCUUAUAACAGUCACCUCUUUAUAAUACGCAAAAGCUAGAUAAAUUAUAACGAGGCUUUACUAUUUUAUUUUCACCCGAUGUGCAUAAAAUUAAUAAUUGAAAUCCAUGAAAGUUGGGCCUUAUGAAAACCCAUUUUCAUUUGCAAAGAUUGGACCUUGACCUAAUGGAAAAUGGUAGUGAAAAUGAAACCUGUUGAGUUGAGCCACUCCAAAAUUUUUGUUUUUAAUUUCGAAUAUUCGAAAAGAAAUUACAUUAUAAACAUGAGUACAAUGGUAAAAUACAUCUCGAAAAAAUUAAUUUUUAUAGAGUAUAAAACGACAUGAAAAAUAUUUUAAUCAUAUGAAAAGAACAUUUAUAUAUCUUAUGCUUAUGUAUGAACAUAUUAAUGUGUUUAUAAGAAAUAGGGCAACAUAGGAAUCUGUUGGAUUAACAAGAUGAAGCUUAGUGAAUGAAUGUGGGAGAAAACCAAAAGGUGAAGAAAGUGUGGGACUUAUGGGUUUCAAGAAAGCUUCUUCACCAUUAAAUUAAGAUAGAUAAAGAGCAUUAUCAUUGAAAAAGGGGGUCAUUUUCAUCCUUGACAAACAUGUCAUUGAUCUACAAUUGCUGCUUUUCCUACAUGAUUUUCCAUGCAUGAAAUAAAAAAACAAGGACCUCUUUAACUUUACAGUCUAAACACGUAGAAAUUAAUAUUAAUUAUUUCCCUUCUUGUCGUACAGGUUUUAUUAGUUGUCAUAAUCUUCAUUAUUCCCAUUUGUUACAACCUGGUUUUGUCAAAUUCUUCAGACAUAAAUAAUUUCAGAAAAAGAAAAAAGAAGCCAAACCUCCUUUAAUAUAUAUAUGCAUGGUCGGUGACAUGGACAUGCACUGAUUAGAGAGAGAGAGAGGAGAACAUUGCUUGAUAUUUCCAUUGCUUCAGAUUUUUCUGUCUGAAUCUAAGAGGGACUGAAAGCAAUAUUCAGCAAAUCAGUUCGCUAAGCCCUGACCUCACUCCUCUGUAUGUAUGUAUGUAUGUAUGUAUGUAUGUAUAAAUACUAAAAAAAAUGUAAUAAAAGUUCUCAUGUAAUUGAAAUUCAAGUAAAUAAAUUGAACAGAACAAGAAAACUUGGCAUCAACUAAGGAGGACGAAAGGUGUAAUUAUCUUAUUUUUAUUUAUUAUUUGCUUCUUUUUAUUAUUGGUGCUUUAAUUUUUUUUGAUACAAUACUUAGAAUUGUAUAUAAUCUCUUCUCUCAUCAACUCUUAAAUAGAAAAAUAAAUGUACUUCAAUUUACGUCCUCCUAUAUUAACAACAACAUCAACCAAAUUAAAACUUGAUUAGCAUAUUAUUGCUUUAAUCUAAUUAUAUGACCAUCCUACUCUCUUUAGGGCUAUCUAAUAAAAGUAACUCACUAUGUUAAUGGUUCUUUUUUUUUAAUUUAAAAUUUAAUCUCUAUAUAUUUUUUUAUUUUUUGGAAUUCUAAAGAUAUUUAUUUUUUCAUAUUUAAGGAAAUUUGUAAAAUAUUUUUAAUAUUUAAAAUUUUAGAGAUUUUUAUUGAAAGCAUAAAAAAAUCUUUUCAUUUUUUAUAAUUUUCAUGUACUUCUAAAUAGAAGAAUCGAAAAAAUCUUAUUUUUUAUAAUUGUAAAAUUGGAGAAAGGGAUCAAUAUCUUUAAAUAAAAAGUACAAAGACUCAAUGCGUCAAAAGUAAAAUACAAGGACUAAAUUUUAAAGUUAAGAAGACCAUAGGGACCUUACACAUUUUUAAACCUAUUAUUUACUACUAUUUUUCAUGAUAUAUAGUAAUAAUUGAUUUAAUUUACUAAAAAUAUAAAUCUAUUCAUUAUCCAUUUAACUUUUAAAUUAAAAAUAUAUUCAAACCUUAUAAAUAUUUCAAAUUUUAUUAAAUCAUUUAAAAAAAACACACAUUUAAGAACUAAACAUCUAAACAGGGAUUGGGUUAAGAUAUUUGAACCCGUCAAUGUAUAAAUAAGACAAAUUUGAAUGAUGGAUUCGAAUAUCCAACUCCAUAAAAACCAAAAUUAAUAUCUAUUUUUUAUUAUUAUUCAUUUCCAUCUUUCUAUUACAAUAAAUUAGGUUCUCAUAUAAUAAUAUAAAUAUCAUAGAGGUUCGUAUAUUAAUAGGUAAAAUAUUUUUUAUCUUCUACUAAAAAAUAAGUAAAUUACCCUUUGUACGUUAGAUUAAAUAAUAGUAAAAUGCUCCACAAGCUACGUCACCACAUAAUGGAAGGAUCAAUUUACUCUUUAAUCUAAUUUAUCUAUUUUUAUAUGGAAUAGACACAAUAAAGUUGGACUCUUAGUAUAAUACCGUCCAUAGUAAUUUUACCACAUAAAAUAUUCCUUGUCAAGAAAAUAUCUCACUUUUUAAUUUAUUUAUUUUAGUAAUAUAGUUAGGAAAUAUCCCCAGACUAUAGCAGACCUAAUCUCCGGUCCAAACAUAAAGUUGGGUCCCAAAAGGUUCUUUUUCCGGUAAGAACUAAAUCGGAAUAAAAUGGCUUUUUAGAUGAUUUAAUUCGUUCUAGAUCGAUCCAACAAGAAGUAAAUUACAAAGGAAUGAUUGCAAAUUGUAGAACCAAACUUUUGGAAGUUGUAUUUUCAUGAAUUUCCCCAAACCAGUAGUCAUUGAAAGCCAAAAAUAAAGAAAAGCACACUUCGGAACAGAUGGGGGGGAGCAAGCCCUGAAACCAUAUUAUACUUAUAUAUCAUGUUUAAAAAGCAGCAAAAUGGGGGGAAGGUUUUAUGUUAUGGAAAUUUGGGGACAUGGUUUUCACAUCAUUUUCAAUGAAAAUAUUGCAUCCAUGUGAAGUUGUGGAUUCCAGGUUGUGAGGGGAGAUGUGGGUCACAAGAGAGAGAGAGAGAGAGAUAGAAUUAGGGUUAGAGUGAAAUGGGUAUUUUUGUGUCAUUGUCCCACAGCACAUGAAAACGACGUCGAAGCACCUUUGAUAUGAGUAUUGCUUGCAUAACCUUUUCUGAAGAAACUCUUACCAUCACAAUAAAAGUUGGAUCCACACAUUUCCAUCUUUCACCACAUAAAACUUGUUAGUUCAUCCCAUAACCCAUCAACAUUAAAUGCUGAACUUAAAAUUCACGUCAUAGGUUUGAAGCACAAAAAUUACAUUAUUAUUUAUGCAUACAAAUUUCUUCCUGUGAGUCAAUAGUAAACAUAUAUAAAAAGGAACUUGUUAAUGUUACUUGAAUUUUUAAUUUUAAACGUGAUGUUGAAUACAUAUAAAUAUUGGUCAAAGUUUACCAAGGGCCAUAUAUCAUCAGGAGUGAAGUUAAAAAAAAAUUUAGGGGCCGAAAUUAAAGUUUAAUUUUUAAUAACCUAUAUCAUUAUAAUUUUAAAAAGAUUAAAUCAAAUUUUUAUUAUUUUAAGAGGUCAAAGCAUAAUUUUAUCUUUAUUAAUUUAAAAUUUUAAAAUUUCUAAAUGGCCUAAAUGGAAAAUUUUCCAUUUUAGAGGGGUAGACCCCUAUCAGCUCCCUAAAUACGCCACUAUAUAUCAUUAUGUAAAGUUCAUUUUAAACUUUCUACUAAAACUUGCUUUAGAUUAAUCUUUAUACAUUAAAAACUUAUUCAAAUCAUGCCGCCUUAAAAUUCAUUGUCAAGUUAAUAAUAAUUUGGACAAAAUAUAUCAUACCCAAGCAUGACCCGACCCAUAAAAACUCAACUAGUCUCCUUUAAAAAAAAUUCCAUGUAUCUUUGAACUAUCAUGUGGCUGAAAAAAUCGAGCUGAGAAGAGCUAAGACUGUAGAUUGUUCUCCAUCAUUGAUACGAGAUCAAUCAUCUAAGUCCUAUGCAAGACAAUAGGGGUGAAUUUAGAGGAGGGCUGGUAGGGGCCUCCCCCCAAAUAGAAAAAUUGUUGUGUAGCCUUUUUAAAUUAGAAAUUAAUGUAUGUUCAAAUUGCACUUUGACCCUCAAAAAUGAAAAAAAGCCCUAUUAAAUCCCUUCAGAAAAUAAUGAAAUCAUAAAUUAAACAUGAUAAGAUUAUAUUUUAACCUCUCAAAAAUUUAUAAUUCAAUUCUGGCCCCCUAAAAUUAUCUAGAUUCACCUCAGGUACAAAUGAGAAAUCAAUGAACUUUUUGGAGGUGUUGUCCAUGGGAAUUAAUGGUAACGGACAGUCAUGAUAGUUAAGGGGUUGUUUUUGCAUUUUUAUUUUAGCCAUAUGAUAAUUCAAAGAUAUAUGGAUUUUUUUGGGAGAUGAUUGAGUUUUUUAUAAAUCGUAUCAGGUCAUAGGUAAAUUAAUUGGGUAUGAUAUACUUUGUUCAAAUUAUCAAUAACUUAAUGAUAAAUUUUAAUGAUAUCAUGAUUUACAAAAAAAAUAAUAUACAAAAAUUAAUCUAAAGCAAAUUUUAGUAAAAAGAUUAAAACAAACCUUAUAUACUAGACUUUAACCUAUAAAUAUACCAUAUUAUCAUAUUUAAGUUUUUAGAAAAAUAUAUCCCAAAAAAAAUUAAAAUUUAUUUAAAAUAACUUUUACAAAUUAUAUCGAUUUCAACUCAUUUCAAAUAAAAUUGUCAUGAAUAGGUGUUGAUAAAUGCUCUAUCAUUAAUGGUAGGGUUCAGGUUAAUACUUUUUGUCUUCAAUUCCAUGUGAGGUUGGAAGUUUUCGCAACAGAAGCUGAAACAACCAAACAAUUAAAAGCUUUUUUUCUACCCUUAUUGAGCCAAAUUAUAGUUUUGAAAUUUAAGAUAUAAUUCCUAUAUUUUAAUUUAGCAUAAAUUGAAUUUUUUUUCAUUUUAAUUUUGAAAUUUAAGUAUUUUGAUUAAAGUUCUAACUUGAAUUCAAAUGUAAGAUCUGGGCACUUCUCCGCUGCAACUCUUGCUUGUCUCAGAACUUAAAUACAUCCAUAAAGGGAAAGAACGUCUCUUUUUCACCAAAGUUAAAAAUUUGGAGCAUUAGUUCACAAAACUCUUGAAUUGCGCCUUGUUGUGUAAGCAUUUGCAACUUGGCACGAGCCCUGUCUUUUGCAUAUUUUGGGUAAAAUUACUUUUUGAAUUUUAUUCGAAACUCCACCCAAGUCCUAAUAGUGGUGACACCACGCUUUUCAUCUCUACACCUAAGACAUCACCAUAAAAGAGUGACAUUAGUAAAAUACAUAUAAACAAUAUUUACCUUGGUGACAUCAUCAUCGGUGCCAAUAGUUCAGAAGUAUUGUUCCAUUCCCCAAAAAUUGUUGUCUACAUCCUUUGUAGACUUGGCACCCUUGAAACUUUUUCGAUUUAGGGACCUCAAUCUUAUGUCUGGGUGUCACAAUUAGCAUAUCAUUACCCACGAUUGCAUUGCAUAAUACAAGCUCCCCCUUAAGCUCGUCCAUCUCUUUCUUCAAAGCCUCUACCACGGGUUCAAGCACAUUAUUUAUCUGGGUCAACAUAUCCAUAGUGGCAUUAAAAGUACCAUGCAUCUCAUCCAACUCCUUGAUGUGGCUCUCAACAAUCUUGAGGCUUUUCUUCUUAUCUCACUUAGAUUCCUCAAGUUUAGCAACUCUACCUUCCCUCAACAAUAGGUCCCUCGAACUACUAGCUUUCUUAGUCCUUCCAUCUUUGGUGGGACAUCUUGACCUUUUGCACCAGUCGCUAUCUCAACUUAGCACCUUAACCAAGCUUGACUCUGACAUCAACUGUCACGAGCUUGGACUUUAACCAAGCAAACCAUGCAGCCUUGGGAAGAAAAUUCAUUUCAAAUUGCAUAAGUCAACUAAACCCUCGGAUUUGAUAAUCCUAAAGAAUUCUCCAAUGUACUAAGGCUAGAAAGCUACUAAAGUGAAACAGGCAAGAAGAAGACUUAAGAAAGCUUAGAGUAAAUGCUCUCAGUGUAUUGAUUACUCAAUGUUGAAUAAUAAAAAUAAGGGUAAGAAAGACCUCUAUUUAUAGUUGAGUCCCCCUUACAUCAAUAAUAUAAAUUGAAUUACGUUAACGACUCAGAUUUUAAACCUAUCUAUAAAAUAAAGUUCUAAGGAAACUUAAACUUUCUAGUAUAUAUAUCCCUUAGAAUUUAAAUUAAACUAAUAACUACAACUUAGUAAAGUGUUUAUUGGGUCACCAGGCUUCAAGUAAAUGAUAUGUUUAAAAUGUUCCAAGAAUUGGGUCAAUCUUGGUGGUUAAGUAAGCCUAAUUUACUCAAAUGAUUGGCUUGAGCUAUUAGGCGUGCCUUGGUCACAAGCCUUUUUGUGCUUUUCUCAACACUUGCAGAUCUAUUGUUCAACUAUCAAUGCUAGGGGUGUUCAAUCGGUUAACCGACCCGAAUUACUAUUAAUCGAAUUAACCGACCUUUUUAAACCGUUAACUGAACUAGAAUUUUUUCAAAAAAAAAUUAACCGAACCAAACUUUUUCGAUUAAUUCGGCCGGUUAACUAAAUUAACCGAAAUUUAUAUAUUUUUUGAUUAAAACAAGUAUAAAACAUAUAAAAAAUUAACCGAAUUUAAUAUAUAUAAAAUGUAUAUAAAAAAUAUAAAAUUUUGGUUAAUUAACCGAUUUCAAACCGAAUUAACCAUUAAUCAAACUUCUAAAAAAUUAUUAACCGACCGAUUAACCUAAUUCAGUCGAUUAACUAAAUUAAUCGAUUUUACCCGAAAUUUGCACAUCCCCUAAUUAAUGCCUCCUUAAUGGGAAUUUUGGACUUCCAUUAAUCAUGUUAUGAUUUAUCCCUGCUAUUUUCUUUUUAUUACAUGUUGUAUUGGUGACGUUCUUGUUGCAUGUUGGGGUCUUUAUCCAUCCUUGCUCAUCAUUGUUCUUGGGUUUUCUUUAGUAAUAAAAUAACCUUUUCUUUUAAAUGCUAAAUAGAUUUGGUCUCGGAACGAGUAUUUUAUAUAAAAACUCACAUCAUUAUUUUAAUUAAAAUAAUUAAAGAUGUUAAUUAUUUGUAUUAACAGAUAAGAGAACUAAAUGCUAAAGUUGAGCAAAAUAGAGGAUCAAAACUAUAAUUUUAACCCAUGUUACUUUUGCCGGAAGUUUCAAUAAGGGCGUGCUCAGACAACUGUGCAAUUCCACCAUCGAAGAUGACUGGCACUGAUUGCAACAUCAAUCAACGCAUUGUAUGAAUAAAAUAUAUUUGGUUGUGGAUUGCACACGAAUUUCCUCUAACAGCUGGACACAUAAAAAUCAAAAGGAAAAAAUGCCCUUCGCCAACUGGUCUCAAUGGCUACCUAGCUAGUUGCCAAGGGUUUUAAAAGAAAACAGCGUGAAGUUAUAUUUUUUAACAUUUGCAAUGCACCUAUUCAAAUAGACUUUUGCCCUGGAAAUAAUGGACCCCAUUUGCCUUUUAUUUAUUAUUAGCUUUAAGUAGUCUUAGUUCGAUUGAUAUAAGUAUUGUUGUCAAUGUAGGAGGACAUUGAGUUCAGUGCGCUGAAGCGCAUUAUCCUCUUAUUUAUGAGUUGAAAAGAGACUAUUGAUAAUUUUAAGCAUUGUAGUAAGAGGAAUGUCAUGAUUGAGAUUAUUUUAAAAAAUAAAAUAAAAUAAAAAACAAAACUUUUAAGAAGGUAAAUGUUUAAAUUAGGGUUAGUAUAAUGUUUCCCCUGGUUAGGUAUAUUUUAGUGCCUAAACUUCAUAGUUAGGUUUAGUUUUAUACUUAAAUUUAAAUUACGUAAAAAUAUAGUGAUGUGUUAUUUUGAUGUUGUGCUAUGUCAUUAUAAAAUGGAAAAAAAUUUGGACCAAUCACAAUUCAUAAUGUAUCAGUAUUAUUUAUCUCUAACUAAAUUAAUUAAUUAUGAGAUGAAUCAAGAAGUUAAAUUCUUUAAGAAUUCCAAUAUAAAUAUAUUAUUUUCUUUAAAAGUUAUUUUGUCUCUAAUUAAUUAAAUUAAUAUGAGAUAAAUAAUAAAUAAAAGAGUUUAAUCUUUGUGAAUCACUUAAUUGAAGAAUUUAUAUUCUACAACAAAUCUUUUUUACAUGAGUAUCUGACACUAUAAAAGGGUCACUUCUAAGCCAUUCAACAAAACUUCACAAGUUCAGAAGUUUAAAAGAAUAGAAAUUAAAGCUUGAAGAGAAGAUUUUGAUUAAAAAGUUUUCUUUAAAAUCUCAAGAAAUCUUUGAAGAACUCAAAAAAAUCCUAAAGAACACUGCAUCAGUUCUUAAAAAAGUUGAUCUUGUUCAACCAACAUAAAGGAGGCUAAAUUCAUUUUUCAAGAUCAAGUUUAGAAGACUAUUGAAGCGGAACCAUUCAUCUAAGAUCAAGUUUAGAUGACUCUUAGAUCAAGACUCUCCCCAAUCCGGUUGCAUUGGCAUAAAUGGUAUAAAACUUAUUUUCAAGAUCAAGUCUUAAUGACCCUUGAAGCGGAAUCAUCAAUCCAAGAUCAAGUCUCGAAGAGCCUUGGAUCCAAACUCUCUUGAAGCUUGUUUCAAGAUCAAGUCUUGACAAUCCUUGAAACAUGCUUUAUUGACUCAAGAUCAAGUCUCAAAGACCCUUGAAUCCAAAUCUUUCUCAAGUAAGCAUCUCUUCAAGCUCAUUUUCAUGAUCAGAUCUUGACGACUCUUGAAGCGGAUUGCAUGCAUCCAGGAUCAUGUCUAGGCAACCAUUGGAUCAAAGUUUCUUUGAAGAGGAGAAUUAAAGGAAUAGUCCAAAAAUUGUAACUCAAUUUUAUAAAUAAAAUUCUUUGAUUUAUUCCAAUUUUUCAAGUUGUAUUUUGACUUAAAAUUUGUGUAUACAAUCAUUGCCUGAAAUUCGAAAAAUAUAUAAUGAAAAUAAUAUAAAUUAUAUUUUUCUAAGUUUCAAGUGAUGACAUGGCACUACGAGAUAGCGUCAUAUCAUCACACUUUUAUGGAGCCCAAAUUCAUGAAUCAAAAUGGAAAAAUUUAUCAAAGUUUAGAUAUCAAAAUAAACCUAAAAAAAUACAAAUACCAAAAGUAACCUAAUUUUUAAGUUCAGGGUUAGAAACUAUAUGAACUUUUUAAAUUAUUUUUUUAAGUAUCGAUUAAUUUUAUCAUUUGUAUUGUUUUAAGUACACUUUUCUCACAUUUAAAAUUUAAAUAUUUUAUUUUAAAUUUCAAGAAUCUUUUCACUACUUCAAUUGAGAAGACAAUUAAAUAAUUUUCGUUCAAUUGGAUUAUGUGGUCUUUAAAACAAAACUUAUGUAGCCAAAUGUGAAAGCCACGCAAGUAAAAAUAUAUUGACUUUCACUUUGCUGUUUCAUGAACAAUGCUGAAGAAACUUAAAAUUCCAUAUAAUAACCGGAAACCUUACAACCUCGUAUUCAAUAUAUUAAUUACUUAGUGCAUUAUUUAUUUUAUAUAUGAUAUUACUAAUUAUAAUAAAAAAGUAGAGGGAACAAAUUUCAAGUGGAACUAGGAGCAAAAAACUAGACCUUCUAUCGUUUGAGACGCUUAAAUAUUUUUGAUACCACUAAAUUCGAAAUCGAGUAAGAUCAAACCUCUAAAUGAGGUAAAAAAAAUCUUUAUUUAAUAUUUACAAUUGAAUCCCAAUAAAAUAGCUAGAAAUUAUGAUUUGCGUUUGCUUUUUAGUGAUAUUUUGGUAUCGGAUCACGAGCCUCCAUGGUGUGUGGUAAGAAGAAAGGACAAUAUUUUUCAGUUUCCUUGGCUGUUGCAUGUUUUUAUUUCGUUUGGAUAGUGGAGACUUGAGAGCUACAUUUCAUAAUCAUGUCAUGCCCAACAAUAUAUAUAGUUGCAGAAUUAAUUACCCGAAAAUUUACGUAGUUUCUGAGCUUACUGUAAUGAAUAAAUUUUUUCAUGCGUAUAUCUUGAUCUUCUGUUAUGAUAAAUUAUUAUGUUUCGGCACUUUUAUACAAUAAAUUGAAGAAACUUAAAUAUCAUGAUCAGCAAAAAGUCGAAUUUAGGUUAAUUUUAUUAUUAGAUACUUUUUAGUUUUUAAAAAUUUAGUUCUGAUCAAAUAAUAUAUGUUAAGUUCAUAAGUUCUAUUUUAAAAAAAAAUUAUGCAGUAAAUGAUUUGUCACGUGUAAUGUUAAAGUAAGCUUGUUAUUUUCAUAUGUUACACAUAAAAUGUAAUAUCCUAAAAUACGGCCCAAAAGUUUCGACCGGAUUCUAGAGAUCACAUUGGCCACCAGAAUGACUCUCAACAAAAUACCAACCAAAUUCUAAAAUACAUUUCGAAAACCACUCUUACUUGUAUCUUACUGAAACCGAUAGUGAGUUUAACUUAUGUUUUGCAAACAUUAAAUUUAAUUACCACUUAAAACAAUUUGAUACUUAAUUCACAUCUCAUAUUUUAAUUUUGCGGCCAAAACGGAAUAGUAAUUCUUGUUAACUGAAGUUUCAAACCAUAAUUUGCAACGUAAAAUUUUAACCUUUUUACCUUAUUUGAAAAUUAUAAACAAUUACUUAAAAAUUGAGUGACUAUUAAUGAAGAUGACAUUUCAGUUAGCUAAAACCCCAUGCAUGAAAUCACGAAUUUAGUCCAAAACCAAAACCCAAAAGUUUACAAGUCCAAAAUCAAACUCAUGAUACCACAUUUUAUGUCCAAAAUCGAACUCAUGCCACAUUUUAUAUAAUCUUACUUACAAACCAAUUGAAAAUAAUUUAUUGAAUCUUAGGAAAAACUUAUUAAACCGAACCGAGAAAAAUGUGAAACUCCGAGAUCUCCGAUUCGCUAAAUCUAGAACCUAACCUCGCGAAUUACUUGAAAAGGGAAAAACUAAGGGAGUGAGCUACGAAAUCUCAAUGUGAGUCUAAACAAAUGUAAUUAAGCAGAGUCGAACAAAAGAAACAAAUACAGUCGCUCAAACUUACAAAAGCAUACAAUGUAAUGACAAAUAGUCAAACAGUCGUACAACAGCCAAUUUCUAAUUAUAUCAAGAAUCACAAUAUUUUAUCACCAAACAGAUACGGGUAUCAUGUUCAAAAAUAAAAUGGCAUAAAAGAAAACUCCACCUAUCCAACCUCUACACACCAACUCCUUAAUCCAACACACGCCAUUAAGAGUAUAUUAGACCCUUUCCAACCUCUACACACCAAUAUUGGGUUAUGGUGGACCCAUCCAGCCAAUUCACACCAUUAAGUGGUCAUUUGCCACUAGAAUGUUAGGCAGUCAGGCUGCUAACACUAUUGCGGUUUUACCGCCGAAUUAUAACAAUAUAGUUUAACUGCUAAAAUUAAACUUCCUUCUUUACAUCAUCAAAUCCCAACCCAAAAUGCAUAUGUAUAUCAAACCAGACAUUCUCAUAUGCAAUUAUAAAAUAGCAGAAUCAACGUUAUGCACAAUUUUCUGAACAUCAUAUCCAGACAUUUACGUAUACCAAAGUUUCCAUAACAUAAUCAUAUUUUCAACCAAUACGGAGAUCAAAACUAAACCUUACGAACAAUUAUAAAUAAAUUAUUCUAACAGUAAUUCGCCUUCCGUAAACAAAAUUAGUGUUCCAAACACCUCUACGAGACUUAAACAUGCGAGAAAUCAACUAGAGACUAAAACGAAUCAAUUUGCAAAAGUAGAGGAAAAAUUGCAAAAAUAGGACCACAUGGUCGUGUGGAAGGGUUUAGACCGUGUGACAGGGGUACAUGGCCGUGUGGCUGAGGGACAUGCCCGUGUGAGCAGACUAUAUAACUCACUGUCAAUUCAGAUGCAGGGAAGACACGAUCGUGUGCGAUCGACAAAUUUUUCCAACAAGGGUCACACGACUGUGUGGCCAGCCCGUGUGGCCCACCUCAGGCCAUGUGACAAGAAAAUUACCCUAGCUUUUAAGUGGCACAUGCCCGUGUGGUCUAGAAACCACCCCUAAAUCUGCUGCAAAAACAUGAAAAUUCACAAAAUAGGUACCCCCGAUUACAUAUGUUUAAGAAAACACACUUGAAAGAUGAUUCCAAAGUACUAACAAUCGACUGAUGCGCCUCAAUUAUACCGAUCUGAAACUUGAUUACAAAAAACACACAAAACCUAAAAGGGAAUCGAUUAAAACCAAAAAGAGGAAAAAUUGAAGAACAAGGGUGAAGAAAUAUAGAACGUUGGAAAAGAAAGAAUACUGAAAACCAAAAAGCCAAAAUCAGAAAUUUGGGAGAGAGAGAAAAGGGACUGAUGUGAGAGAGGGAGUGAGGGAAACGAACUUGAGAAAAAUUUGGAGGCCCUUUCCUUUUCAAAAAUUUAAAACAAAAAUAAUAAAAUAAAAUAGACAAAAUAAUAAUUAACAAAAUCCUAUCAGAUUUUUUCCAGAAAAGAAUUUCCCCUACACAUAUAAGGACUCAAAUACGAGAUUUAAGGGUCAGCUAACAAAAUCCUUACCACCAAACUAGCACACUCAUUCUAUCCUUAAAACACAAGAAAUAAACUUAAGAGUCCAAAUGCACCCACUAACUCCUCCUACAAACCUUGAUUCUUCUAACCCCAAAUUUUUGGGUGUGACAUAAAAAAGUUUGUUAAUUCAUUUACGGCAAUCAUUUUUUUGUCAAGACUGGAAUUACAAUAUUCGAAAAGUAUAAAAAUUAAGAAUAAUUAAAAAAAAAACAUAAUUUACAUCUACAAAUUUAUACCUAAAUUUAACCAAACGAAUUUAAUUAUCAUUGCUAUCUAUUUAAAAAGUAAAACAACUAAAAUGAGUAAAUUAAAGUAUAAUAAUUAAAUUCCCAACUAACACAUAAUGUAAUCACUAACAUCGGGAUUUGACUUUUGUAUAAUAAGGGAGAAGCAUAUUUGUCAAUUUGGCCAUCUUCAAGGAAUAAUUAUAGAGUUAAUAAUCCUUGACACGAUUCAUGUUUUGCUUAUAUUUUUUUAUUUAUAAAAUGAUUAACCCAUAAAAUAAACGAAUCCAUCAAAUUAUAAAAAAAUAAUAAAUUGAUUUAAGUACUUUAAACAAAAAUAUUCUGACAAUUAGGAAUGAAAUCUAAAAUUCAUGGAUGAUUUUAAUUUUUUUUUUUUUUUAACUUACGGAGGUUAGAAUUACCCUAACUGAUAUCCUCAUGGUUUUCAGACAGAGAAACAACCUAUUUUCUUUAAUUGAUGUCAUAAAAUUCAUUGUGUCUUCGGGGCUCAAUUAAUACGUUUAGAGAUACUCCUUCAUUAAAGUUUAAUCAGUUUCAGACUUUGUUUCACAUUGCACGGAGAUGUUGCUAUUAUAGCAGAGAUUAAUUUAAUCNNNNNNNNNNNNNNNNNNNNNNNNNNNNNNNNNNNNNNNNNNNNNNNNNNNNNNNNNNNNNNNNNNNNNNNNNNNNNNNNNNNNNNNNNNNNNNNNNNNNNNNNNNNNNNNNNNNNNNNNNNNNNNNNNNNNNNNNNNNNNNNNNNNNNNNNNNNNNNNNNNNNNNCCAUUGCAUGUUCCAUGCAUGUGGAUGCAUUAUAAACCAAUCCUUUUUUCCCUCUACUUUUGCUUCCUAUGGCCAUCACUAGUCAACCUAUCAGUAAUAACAAUAAAGGGGAAAACAUAACUUCUAAAAAUAAUCAAAAUGUGAAACAUCACCAUCAAUUUACAACAUCAAAUUCAAUUUGAAUUUUUUUGUACGACGACUAUUCGUGUAAUAAAAGAAUGUUAAUUGUCUAAAAUUACAUAUUAACUGACCUAACCAAUAAAAAGAAUAAAACAAGGUCGAAUGCAAUUCAAAUAUAUGUAUUUACUUUCCAUAUAAUUAUUUUUAAUACUAAAAUAUUAAAUGAAAUCUAACUUAAUCAAGUAUCCUGCAGAAUUCACUUUUCCUCUUGAAAAGCAUCCUGCAACAGAAAUCAGAAUUUUUCUUCUUUUUUUUUUUUCUGAGAAAAUAGUGUGGUCACAUGCCUUGAGGGCCUCACAUAAUCACCUCCACAACAUCUUAUAACUUGCAUUUAUCUCAAAUUCUAUAUAUUUUUUUUCGAUAGACAGCUCACAGAAAAAAACUGGUAAAACAUGUUAAAGUAGGAGGGUCUAAGGGUGUUCUCCCUGUCUAAACGCCCCCAAUGCUUCAGCUGCUCCGACCUAUAUAGUUUCUCACACCAAACACUGUAAGUUUUGCCAGGCAAAAGCCUAAGGUGAUAAGUUUCCUUCUGGUAACCCUAAUCAUUAUUGAAGACUUCACUAUCCAUCCACAAGGAGUGAUUACCCAUUGAUUUCAAUAGUAAGGUUACUUCCAUAACUGAAUUAUGCUGUUUACAACCGAUAAACAAAUCAUUACAUCCAUUAGAAGUGUGUUGUGGAGGGCUUAAUACUCUUUAAGUUUCCAAUUGUGUCUUUGAUCACCUUACUUUCGAAGGCACUCACUGUGGCUAGGAUGGAUUUGGAUGCUUGUAUGACAGAAAUUGGGUUACAUUGAGAUCCUUCGAAGACCAUUUUAUUUCUAUGAGGCCAUUACGAUAAAAUCUUUUCUAAGUCUCGAUUUGUUCUCUAUCCAAUUCGAUGUUCAGACAAAUUUUCAAGCAAGUGUUUAGACAAACGUUUGAAUAUAUGUGUGAACGGAACAAUUUAAACAAGGCAAGAAGCGAAGUAAAAAAGAAAUCAACACACAAUAUUUGUUAAUGCGGUUUGGAUUCACUAAUUCUACUCUACAGAGCCUCGCUUAGUGAAUGAUUUUAUUCAACAAUUGUCUGGAUUACCUAUUGGAUUAAAUCUAAUCUACUCUUACACAAAGAAGUAAUUGCAACCCCAGCAAUGAACACAAGUGUUACCUAUUGGCUUAAAGCCUUUCUUUUUCUCCUUCAAGGAUAGCAACUUCUUCCUUUAAAGAAUUGUUCAAUUGGCACAACACUUCCUAGCAUGUUCCUGUAUGUUUUCAGGAAUUUCUCAUCAGAAUCUGAAUCACUCUCAGAUCCUUUAACAGUAUUUGCUGCAAUGCCGCAUGGUUCUUAAGAUAGUCUUCAUCUAAAUUCAAGUUGUUGGAUGAAUCUUCAUCACUCCAAGUCACACACAAUGGCUCCUCCUCCUCGUCCUUCUUCUUCUUCUUUAGAGUGUUAGCAGACUCAGGCUAGAUAUAACCAUAUCCUUGGAACUCAUAGCCUUUCUUCUUAUAUACUUUUUUAGUUUAUUCGUUAAUGAUUGUUUUUGGGAGCAUUUGUGCUGAAUUUGAACUUUUUUAUCCUUUCUGAUUGCUUCUUAAAAGCUUUGUUAAAGUUCUAUAUGAGUAACGGGAUCUACUCCCGAAGUUCUUCAAUCGCAAUGUUGUAUGAAGUUGGCACUUCUUCUCCCAUCGGAAAAGCAAUAUUUCUCUCUCCCUUUGUCCUACUGCGUUUGACCUCAUCAAAGUCCAUUUCAUAAGUCUGCAGAGAAUGAAUGAGUUCAUCAACUAGUUAGGCUUUCAAGGUCUUUAGCCUCUUCAGUGGCAGUGACGUUAAUGGAGAAUCUCUCAAGUUUAAAUCUUAGCACCUUCUUUACCAGUUUGGUAUUACAAUAUUCUUCUUCUAGUGCGAAUGUCUAAUUUGACAAAUCGUAGAGUUUAGCGUAGAAUUCUCCUCCGGUCUUUGACAUUUGCAUCCUUAAGUUCUCAAAUUUGGAGGUUUAGCAUAUGCAUUUUUUACUGCUUCGCAAUAGUAGUUUCUUCAUGGGUAAUCUUUAAAAUAUCCCAAGCUAUUUUGGCAACGGUACACUUUGCAAUUCUCUUGGACUCUUGCAGAUCUACUCCACAGAAGAUGGCGUACAAAGCUUUGGAGUUAGCAUUAGCAAGUAGUUCUUCUUCAGUCGUCCAUUAUACUUUAAGCUUAACCACUCUUCCACCUUUAGUGACAAUUAGAGGAGCCUUUUAUCUUGUAGUAAUUAAGCAUCAAGCCUUCUCUUCUUCAAUGGAUUUGAUAUAAGCUUUCAAGUAAGCCUUCUAGUAGCAUAAUGGCCAAUCUCCAACAUUGGGGGACUAGUAGUUGAUGAUUCUUCCAUAACUUGUAGUUAACAACAAUAAGAACCUACGGAGCCUAGCUCAAUGAGAUAAAUCUGCUAUCUUUGAGUCAAAUACAACCAAUGAUCCUAGUUCUAACACACCCCAACGAAGAAUCCUCACUCUUAUAUCUUAAAGACUAAACCUCUCACCACUAAAUUUUCCCCUAAGAACUUAGCAUGUAAAACUAACCACACAAAGGUUUUACAAUAGCAAAUGUACUUUCACAAAAUAGUGUUCCUAAUUGAACAAAUAAGUGCUCUCUAAAAUCAAUACAUCAACUUAUGCAAGUCUCUCAAUUAUAAAGGUUUUUGAGACUUGUUAACAAAAGCUAAAAUAGCUAAAUACAAUAUAAUAUUAAUGAUCAAAGUAAAACGAACUGUUGAUAGAUAAGUAUUCAAGUUUGAUCUGAUCCAACUUCCCUGAUCCAAGGGAUUUGAUAUAUACAAUCUCAUUCGAUCCAAUCUUCUUGAUAUGUUUCUCUAAGUGAAUUGAUCUUCAUUUAUGGGCUUGAAUUCCACAAAAUCGACAUAGCUCAAAGAUUCAGUUCAAUAAUUUGUCAAUCUUUGAAAAGAGGUAAGUUGUUGUUUUAUUGCAAUGGUGAAGGAAGGGGCACUUCUUUUGGCACACCGCGACAACUUCAAAUAUUUCAACACGUAAUAUGCAUUCUACAUUAUUUUACAUGUUUAAUUUGUAAAUUUACUAUAUAAUAUAUUUUAUAAUUUAAAAAAUAUAUAUUUUCUAAUUAAAUAAGAACAUGUCUAAUUUGUAAUAAAAGUCCAUUAAUUUUGAAAAAUAAUUGAGAGAAUAAAAUAAAAUUAUAAAAGUAAUAAAAAAAUGAGAAAUAACUGGUGGUAUAAUUUAAGGUAAUUAGAUAAAAAUAACUUGUCAUUUGAAUGUGAGUAAAAAUUUCACUUACAAAGAAUCAUUAAUUUAAAGGUUAGUAUUUGAUACACUGAUAAUGUAUUUUUUUUAAUUCCAUAAAUAACCUCAAAAAAUUGUCACAUGUCUGUUUUAAGUCUGAUCAAGUGAUGAUAACUAUUAUUAAUAAAUAAAUUUAUACGGUAUAGACUAAAUUACCAAUAUAUGGAUAUUAUUUAUAUAUAUAUAAUGUUAAUCUCGCACAUUUAAUUUUUAUUAAUUAUAAAAAUUGAUUUUAACAUUAUUAAUUAUUUUCACAUUUAAUUAAAAACUUUUAUUUUAUCCAAUUCUAUUUCAUGAUUUUAUAGACUUAUAAUUUUAUUAAUUAAUAAUAUAUUAUGUUGUUUUUUUAAGUAGAACUUUUAAAAGAUGUGGCCAAAUUAAUUAAUUUUACAUUAAUAUAAUACAAAUACAUUAUUAUUUAAUACUAAUUUAGUAAUAUAAUUAACAACAGGUAAAAGAUUAGUUAUAAAUCCAAGUAAUGUGUUGUGGUUUAAAGUAAAAGGAAAAGGCAAAUAAAAAGAAAUUAGUGCAAAUACAGAUAAAUUGGUAAGGAGUUGUCGCUCUCAUUUGUAAAAGAUGAAUGGGCGGCGAAUAAGUGAGAGAGACUACACAUAGCAGAGUCGCACAAAACUUCUCACCUUUCUUGCAUUUUCCUAAAGGAUGAAUAAAGCAACACAAAUGUUUAUUUUAAUUUUUAACCAAAUAUAACACCAAUUUAAUGAUUUUCUUUUUUACAUUUUAUUCCAUAUUUAACUAUUUUAAACAUUAUUAAUAUAUUCAAAUUAUUGGGAAAAAGUAUUUAUUCAACGUCCUACUCAUUCAAGUUGAACCGUUGAAACAAAUGAUGUUUAUGGUUUUUUUUUCUAAUUAAAUCCUUCUUUUUCUAUGUUAUUAUUUUUCUAAUUGCAAUGUUUUUGCACCCAUCUAAAAUUAGAUUAGAUCUAAAAUUCAAUACAAAUUUAAAUUUUGAACGGUGUCUGUUCGAGUUGUGUGACUCGAUUUCCGUUUGAGCUGCAACUCACUUGUUAAAGAAAUAAAAUAGAAAGGGCUUGAGGCCGUAGCUCGCCACACAUCCCCAUCCAUCACUAAACUUGACUGGAGGUGCAACCAGGGAUGUGGGGACAAAACCAUCGCUGUACGGACCAUGUCGCAUAAGUUGAAUUUGUAUAGAACUAUAUUUCUUCUAUUAGACAUUGAUUAUAAUAGGAUUGUUUAACCCUUAAAAAUAUGUGUAGUCGAAAAUCUCUUGUAUUGUUGUUUUUCGACGUUAGUAAAUUUCUCCUCCUCUACCCGUGGUUUUUCCAAAAAGAGUUUUCCACAUAAAAUCUGCAUGUUCUUAUUUUUCUUUCUUAUUACUUUACGACCAUUCCUACUGCCAUUAUCUAACGUAUAGUAUAACAACAUCUAUAAGUAUUUUUUAUAAAAUACGAAAUUAGUAUUUGUGGGUAUAAUUUUUUUUCAAUUAGCAGAUAUAAUCUUGAAAUUUUAAAUUACUUUAAAGAAAUGUGAGGUUUUGAGUCUGGCUUUAAAAAGAAGGAAAGGGAAAGAGAAAAUUUGAAUUAUUUUUGUUUAAAAUAUUAUAGUUUGUUUUCUUUUAAACCAUAUAUAAUGUUUUUCUAAAGGAGUAAUAUAAUAUUUUAUAUAUGGAAUAAAAAUUCAUAUAUAUUAAUAUUGGCAUAUUUUUUAUUCAUAUUGUAUUUUUUAUUGUUUUUUCUCUUAUUUUUUAAUCAUUUAUAUUAUGUUUAGUUUAUUUGAUGAUUUAAUUGUUUAAUAUUCUAUAUAAAUUUUUAUUUUGAUUCAAUUUUGAAAGAAUUCAAACAAUAAUUACAAGUAAACUGAGUAGUGCUACAAGCAGUGUCAAUUGCUUUAGGCACUGGUGAAGAACAAAAUGAACAUAAUGAUAUGUGUAUGUAGUUCGAUUUUCCUAUGCGGGGCUUUACCCAGAGAGAUAAUUCACUAUCUUAACAUUUUGUAUAACAAGUGUGAUGUCUACUAAACUAACUAAUAAAUUGACCAAGGCAAAUGCACCUAGAUUUCAAUCAAAUGAUGUCCACUAAACUAACUAAUAAAAAAUGAAAAACAAAAAUAAUCAAGUAUCAAUCAAAUGGAAAAAGGAUACCUAGGUAAGAAUCCACCCAGAUUUCAUCUAUAAUUCUAUAAUUCUUAAUCUAAUUUAUGCAAUUUAUUAUCUUAGCUCUUUGAUUCGUAGAAAUCAUUAAUUUAUGCUAAUAUCUCUUCCAAGCAUAAGAGCAACUAACUCUAGGUUGAUUAAUUGAAAUUUAUUUCUAAUUAAAAUACAUAUUAUUGCAUUAAUUCGCUCUAUGAAUGCCCCUAUUAGAUUUGACUCUAAUCUAGUAGAUUUAUGUCGUUCUAUUUUGUAGGAUUGCAUGUAAAUCCAUUCAAUUUAUGCAAUAUCUAAUCACAAGAAAGGUCUAUUCAAGCUCAAAAUUAUGCACAUCAAACAUGAAUUAACACUCUAGAAUUGUUAACCCAAGAAUAAUAAAGCAUUCAAAAUUGAAAACAAAGAGACUAAGGUUUUAUUGCAUAAAACAUAGAAAUCAAACACUAGAAUCCAUCCUAGGGUUCAUCUCCCCCAGGUAUUAAGAGAUUUAGUUCAUAAUGGCAAGAGUAAACACCAAAACUACAAUAUAACCACUAGAAUGAAAGAUAUCUAUGAUAACUCUUUUGAAAAUCAACUUGGACUCUUGAAUAUUGGUGGAAAAUUGCUUGGAAACUCGUUUCAAUGGUGUUUUCAUGGUAAUUUUGUGCUUUCCCUUGGUGACUACCUCUUUUCCCUUUUAUUUUCUUAUUUAUAUCCUCUUAAAGUUCUAAAAACCCUAAAAAUUAUAACUUUUAGCCGUCAACGCACACAGUUCCCAAGAUCGACACACCCUGGACACACGGCUAUGUAACGCCCCAAAAUUUGAGUUUUGAUGUUAAGUUGUGUUGAUGGAUAUGUGUCUACUUCUGUGGUUGUGUAUUCUGUUUACUUACUUGUGAUCGGAGGUUCGAGUCACAUUAAUUUCGGAAAUUUUAAUUUCUUUAUUAGAACCUUAACCUAGGUUCCUUCCUUAAGUUUAAUUUUGUGCCAUUUUGUGUUAAGAAUGAGCCUACUGGUUCACUGGUUAACUAUCUGCCUAUUCUCUAGUUCCGUGUUCAAAUCUUUGUGUAAGCGAAGCGAGAAUAUGUUUUUGUUAUUUUGUGAGAUUAGUUAGUUGGCUUUUAAAAUAAUCUUUUUUAUGUGAACGUAACUUUCUCCUUCUCUCAUUCUUUUCUUUGUUUUUCUUUUAUUUUUCUUCUUCUCAAUUUCGUCCCUGAAUUCUCAAAUUCCACCUAUCAAAUUUGUUGUUGUAGUUGUAAGAGUUUCGUUUCUGUUGUUCUUUUGCUAGAAGUCAACUCGGUAAGUUUCUGUGUUAAAUUCUGCUAACAUUUGUUAUCAUUUAUUUUCGGUCAAAGUUGGUUCCCUGAGUAUAUUGCUUGAUUUCUUUGGCUAAACGUUCAAUUGAUGUUUGUUAGGAGAAGGUUUCGAGGAAAACUGUUCCCUAGACGCCUUAGGUUCGUGAAUUUGUUAUAUUGAGUGAAGGUAACAAUUGUUUUGAGUUGGGGUUUGCGUCGAGAUUUUGACAUGAUUGGUUAAUUAUUUAAUUGUUCUUGUAAGUUUAAUUAAGUUGUGUAACUAGACAAUUGUUCAUUGUUUUUAGGUUUUGGAGUGUCUAUGUUGCUCCUAUGUUCAAUCUUCAUUAGGUGGGUACCAAAACCCCUCUUUUUCUGCGUUUUUGCUCUACCAGCAUUGGGAUUGUCGACGGCACACGGGUGGUCACACGGGCGUGUGUGCUGGCCGUGUGAGCCACACAGCUAUGUGAGAGGCUGUGUGGUGAGCCGUGUACCUCAUUGACUUUGAAUUUGUGGACACACGGGCAAACUACACGGGCGUGGGAGAGGCCGUGUGUGGGUAAUGAGAUGCAAGGGUGACACGAGUAAGACACACAGGCGUCUGUCCAGGACGUGUAACUAACUAAGUUCAUAUUAGAGUCACACGGGUAAGACACACGGGCGUGUGUCCAGGCUGUGUAACUCACUGAGUUUAUAUUUGAGACACAUGGGUGUGCACCAGGCCGUGCGGGCGUGUGAGCUUGAAUUUUGAAUCCAUGUUAGUGUGGUAAUUGACGUGCAAGGCAGGGUAAGCCGUCGUAUGAAUUGAACUGAGUUGUGAAUUUAUUUAUCAUGAAUGUUAUUUGAUCUUGGACAUUGGAAUGAGAUAGAUGUUACUGAUAUCGACAUUUUGUUAUAUUAAAAUGUGUAACUAUUUUUGCAACCGUGUUAUAUAUAUGUGACUGAUAUCUAUUCCGAAACUGCAUGUGCAGAGGUUAUGAAGUGAAGGAAGUAUCCUGUAUUGAAUCGGUGGUCAAACCACCCAUAUAUUAUGUUAAUCUGGUAGUGAGACUAUAAACACUGCAAUGUGUCAUACCGACAUUGUGAAGUGUGUAUGGAUGGACGGGUAUUAUAUACCUAUUAGUGUGUAAAGGGAAGGGAAUGUGGAGAUGGUGUGUAGCGGUUGGACUAGGGAAUUUGCAUCUGUAUCUGUACCAACAUCAUACAUGUAUCUGCUAAUGCGUUUGUGUUAUAUGUGCGCCUGUAACUGACCUGUUGUAUUUUCGGACUAUCUUGUGUUUGAAUCUAUUUUAGGUCAUCACAUGAAUGUUGAUAUCAAAUUGUAUCUGGACACUCAAUAUUAUCCAAGUACUUAUGUUUCAUUCUAUGAUGCAACGCUCUAACUAUCCGUAUGAAUUUCAGGGAACUCUCAGGACUAACGGUCGGCGAACGGGGGACUCGGUCAUCUGUAGGACUUACUAUAAUUAUAUGUGUGUAAAUUUAUAACUUUGAAUUCGUAUUUCAAAACUUUUAGGAUUUGACUAUGUUUUUGGAUAUUGAAUGUUUUAUAACCUAACUAUAGUAAAGGACUUGCUUUAAGUAUGACUGUGGUCUGGUGAGACAUCGUGACAUUCUAAACUUAGUCUUUUCAUCUAGGCCAAGUUUAGGGUGUUACAGGCUAUGUGGAUUGCCUGUUUGAAAAUUUGCUACUUGUGUACAGCUUUUGGAAUGCUGGAAUGCUCCAAUGUUUUAAUUCCCACCAUUUUUCACUCUUAUUUCUCCCAAGUGCCCUAUUAAGAAUCAAAACAUGAAUAUAAAGGAUUAGGAGUAUAUAAUUCAUAAUUAAUACCACAUAAUCGCCCAAAAAUGCACUAAGAAUGAGACAAAAAUAUGUUACUUUUGAUCCUUAUCAAAAUGAUUACAAGCCCUAAAAUUCACCAUAUUAGCAACCUCAUUUUUACACCUAAGAUCCAAGAUCACUCUCUUUUAAGUUUUCUUUCUAAAAGCUAAGAAUAAAACGAAGGGGUUCACUUGAUUACUUACAAAAUACACUCUGAAAAAUAAGUGCUAAAAUUCUCCACACCAUUUACCUACACAAACCUUUCAAUAUAUAAGAGUUUUAAGACUUGUUAACAUAAAGAUCGAGUACCAUCAAUCUUCCCAUCAAAAUAGCUAGAUAAUCAACCUAUAAUAUAUCUUCAAUAAGUUUAAGAUAAGUUUUCAAAUCUUCAGGAUUUGUUACUAAAUCACCUGAUUCAAUCCAAUCUCCUAAAAAAGGAAAGUCAUUUUGCUUGAUUUAAUCCAAACCAGUGCUCAAGAUAUGUUCCUAAAAUAGGUUUGGAUAUCAUAGAUAGACUUACACAUGUCCACAUAAUUAGCAAAGGUCACGACCCAAAGAUUUGUUAACAAAGGUUGAGCAGUGCAAAACUAUAAUGGGCACUAGUCGUGGCACUACUCUAGGCACUUCUUUCAUAAUUGCCUCAACAAUAAAACCUGUCAAGAUUGGACAAGCCUUUCAUAUUUAGAGCAUGAAUCCAAUUUCACUAAGCAAACUUUAGUCCAUCUUAAUCUACCCAAAUCUCAUUAAAUCAAUUAUUUUUUAUAUGAAGAUAUAAAGGAAUCAUAAAGUUAACUCACAUAUUCUUGAAUUGCAUAUCUUAAUAAAUAAGAUAAAUAGCACAUACUCGGGCAGAUUAUUUAUGGGUUGCCUAGAUACAUGCUUAUGUUCUUAAGGAUAACAAUCUAUGGCAGGUAUCCAUUACACAAGAAAGUAGUUGGACGUGGAAGUUAAUGCAAACGAGGAAUCUUACUCAACAAUUCAAAGCCAUUAGAAUGGCAUGCCAAUUUGGAAAUAAAUACUAGGUAACAAGAGUAUGGAAUGAUCUAAGGAGCAAGCAUGAGAAAGUGGGGUGGGAUUGACUGAUUUGUUUUCCUCAUUACAUCCCUAAACACUCGAUAGUAGUAUGCCAAUCCUCAAAGCUGCCCACAAAAGAAAAAUUGAUCUCAAGAGAUCUGAGAAUUGAUGGAAGAUGAAAGUUUUGCAAGACUGAACAAAAGACCAAAAACCAUGUAUUCUUCGAAUGUAGCUACUCCGGGAGGAUUUGGCAAGAGUUUCUCAAGCUUUGCAACCAGUAGAGGAGUGAGGCAAGCUAGUAGCAAGUAGUCCAGUGGAAUAUAAGUAGAUUGAAAGGAAAAGCUCUGACCUCCAUUAUCAUGCAACUUGCAUCAUUUUCGUUCAAUACUAUAAAAUUGAUCAAGGAAGCCAUAUAGAUGAUGAUAGCUGGACUUAGCAAUAUUUUGGGAAUGAACUCCUUAGUUUUUGCAUAAUGUUACAAAUGUUUUUUCUUUGUAUUUUUUUCAAAAGCCAGUUGGAUUUGUAUUUAGUGUAAAUGAAAGAAAAAUCACUAAAAAAACAAUUAAUAAAGAGACUAAAAAAGUUAAUAUAAAAAUUAACUUGAAUAAACCUAAUAUUAUUAUAUUAAUAAUAAUUUUUAAAUUUUAAUUUUAAAAAUAUUUAAAAUAUUAAUAUAUUAAUAUAUCAAAUAUGAUAAUUUUUAAUUUUAUUAAGCAUACAUAUUUAAUAAUAUAACAAAUUAUUAAUAUAAUUAAUUAUUUCAAUAAAUUAAUUAAUAUUAAAAUUUUAUUUUAAUAAUAAUUUAAAUUUUUAAAUAAUAUUCUUCAUAUAUUAGUGAAAUAUAUUUGUAUUAAUAUUUUAAUGAUAAAUAUAUAUUAAAAAUAUAAAUAUAUUAAUAAUAAAUUUUUUAGUAUAAAUGCUAAAAUAUGUCAUAAUCCAUUCAUAAAUUUAAAAUUUAGUCAUUAUACUUUUAUUUUUAGUAAUUCAUUCCCUUUGUUUUUUAAAUUUAAAAAUUUAGGUCCAAUUGUUAAUAUUGUUAAUUUUUUUGUCAAUUUUGUUGAUUUGACAUUUUUAAAUAAAAAAUACUCUCUUAAUAGCCAUGUAACUAAAAAAUGGCAUUGUAAUGAACUUAUAUUUAAUAAAAUAAUUAAUUGUGUUAACAGUUGGACUUGAACUUUGAAAUUUAAAAAGUAGAAGGACUAAAUUCUCAAAAAUAAAAUUAUAGGGAUUAAAUUCUAAAUUUAUGAAGAGUACAUGGACUUAUGACAUAUUUUAACCUAGUAUAAAAUAUGAAUAUUUUAAUUAUACAACUAUAAGUAUUUGUCUAAACAAUGCUUAGCUUCAUUUAUCCCUUCCAACUCUAGUAUCUCAAUAUGCACUAUCAUAUAUGUAAGUUAAAUUAAGUUUUAAUUAGGCAUUAUUUAUUAUUAAGUUUAUAUAUGGUAUUAGUUAUUACAAAAAUAUUAUCUUAUUAUAAAUUAAAUUUUUAUUGUUAAAAGGAAAGUGUACUAUAAUAUUUUGUAACAAAUAUAUUUAUGUCAUAUUUGUUUCACUAAAAACAACUUUUAGAAAAUGAUUUUAGGAAAAUUUAUCAAAUAACAAAAAAAACAAAUUCUUUUUUUUUUCCAAGUCAUUUGCUUCUUAUCUUUUGUUUUACUCAACGGCAGUGUCACCCUUCGGGUUAACUAUCGCCCACAUUUUUCCUCUCUCAUCAACCCUUUCUUUCUUCCUUCUUCUCAUCCACUAUACAUGUUUUCUCUCUUUUCAAUUUGCAAAUCUAUUUUUUGGGUAUGAUGGACAGAUGAUGUUGCCUGUCGUUUGUUAAAACUCUACCGGCUACCAGUAGUUUUUCUUAGAAAGUGGGUGGCUCUUCGUCAACUUCUUAAUCUAUUUCUGCAAUGAGAGUAUUUUAGGAUAAUAAAUGAUUUCACGUGUCGAUUUAGACCCAUGUUGUCUUAAGUUUUAUAUGUUUUGUUUGUUUGUUUUUCCAUUGUUUAAUAAGUCUUAAAUUUUAAAGGUUUUUGUUUGCUCUUGUAGCACGUUUUUUAGUCUUAAUUUUACAACUAUUUAAAGAUAUGAUAUGAUAUGAUAUGAUAUAGUAGGAAAUUUUACCAUAUAAGGCAAACAGUAUGAUUCAUGUGCGAUGCUGUUUUUAGUUUUAGCAUUAAUUACAGUCCAUUCUUUUAUAACAUCUUCAUUUAUAAUUUUAAAUGUUAGUAGGAAUACAGCCCCUCUAUAUUAAAUUUUAUUAUUUUUAUUUUUUGCAUUUUAUAAUUUAGGAGUUUAGUUUUAUUGGUAAAUAUUUGUACUCUUAGUUUUAUUUGCCAAGGCUAUAUUGGCUUUUUCAAUUUGAUUAAAUGUAAAAUAAUAUUUAGGAUUUUUUUUUUGAAAGUAUUUGUUAAAUUUUAUUAAGUAAUGAAAUAUUUAAGUAUGCAAUUCACCAAUAUGUUUUAACUACAAUAUUCUAAAUUUUUUUUUCAAAAGUAUUGUGAGAAUAAAAAAAUAAAAUAAAAUAAAUUGUCACAAUCAAAAUGCAAAAAAUUAUCAUAUUAAAUUGUAACAACAACAAAUAAGUAAAUUUUCGUAACUUAAUUAUAAUGCCUUUCAAACAAUUUAAAUUGGCUCAAUCAAUUAUUUAUUAAGUAAAUGUUAUGUAGAGGUAGAUAAUUUUAAAAUAAUAGAUUUUUAUUUUAGUAUAUAUUAUUUUUAAUUCUAAUUUCAUCUAAAAUUCAAUUCAAUUGAUAAUACAUAAAUUAAACCUAUUUAAUAAUUUGGUAAAGACCAAACAAAUACACAAUAAAACAAAAAAA
rnacentral:lncRNA from 1 species